rnacentral:lncRNA from 1 species
AUUCCUAAGCUUGAAUUGCCAACUUUGUCAAAGCCGAAAAUGCCUUAAGUGCCUAAAAAGCCUUGAGCACGAGGCUUGUUAAAAAUGUAUUGUGUAUUGUGUGAUCAUAUAUGUAUUUGAAGCUUUCCUUUUGGAAAGAUUAUUUAUGUGAUAUUUAUGUACAAGAAUUGUUUAUGUAAUUGUUCUGUUUUCAGUUCACUAAUGUACUUGUCUUACUAGUGACAUUAUACACAUCUUUAUUUGUAAUCUAAGACUCGAUUUCAGUUUGUUUAUCUGAUUUUGAUUUGAUAUAGUAUAUAAAAUUCGUUGUAUAUGUCUCUAAAGCCUUUAACGAUAUUGAAUUUAAUGAUAUUUGACUAAUGCCGGAAAAUCUUUAACACUCUUUAUAAUAUGUAUAUGUUUAUUGCUACUAAAAGUUGUUCUUGUUAUAAUAAUUGUGAUCUUAACUAAAGAUAUGAAAAAAAAAAGUAAAAUAUAUUUUAAUCUUGUAAUCUUAAUUAAAGAUGCGAAGAAUUUGUACGAAUAUGUUUAAGUUCAUAUAUUUGCUUAAACAAACCUGAAUUUUCAACACAAAUGUUAAAACACUAAUAUAAGUAUUGAUAGUCAAAUUAUAAUAACAACACCUAAAUUCUUGUAUUACAAGAAAAAGUAACUAAAGAUAGAGAUAAGAAUGAAGCUGAGAAGUUUCAACUCUAGAAAAAAGAUGAGAAGAACAUACAGUUUCUACACUUUACACAUAACUCUUAUGUUAACAACUACCUAGUCAUAUUUAAUCAAUUGAUAAUUGGGCUGAAUUGCAAAUAAAAUUUUCUAAUAUUUAUUCGACCCAAUAUUUCAAUCUAAAUCAGUUUAAUUCAAAACUUCUAACACAUAAGCCCAUACUAAAUCGAUUUGGUUCACAACGAAUACUUUUACUACAUCGUGGGUGGCUGUAGUGGACAGAAAAUAUAGACUAUAAAUGAUCUUUUUGCAUAGUACAUGUUCUGAUUAUGUUAUGGGUGUUCGAUAAUGGUGAUGAUUUCGAGGUCGGAUUAUUAUAACUUAAAUUUUGAAGAAAAGUAUAUAUGUUCUCUUUAGAUUACCUACAUGGGAGACCUUGUGUGUUGACUUGUAGGAAUAUAUCUACAUAAAUUAUGUGUUACACAAAAAAAGUUUUUGUGAUAUUAAAUUUAUGAAGCUAUCGUUGAGAAGAUGAACUAACACAAUUUUUCCUACCAAUCACAACCAAAGCUUGAUUCUCCAAUUUUUAUUUUCCACAACCACACAUCUUAUAAAAACUUGUUUGAAGUGAAACAUAAAGCAUAUUAGCAUAAUCAACCAAAACAUAAAUUACUAGUCUUGAAGCAUUUAUUAACUUUCGAUAUAAUGGCCAAUAAUCACUACUACUCAUCUUUUUACUUGUUAUUAUUUGUUACUUUGUUUUUAACAAACAACUUCAUAAAUCAAGCAGACGCGUGUCAUCUUCUUGAAGUAAUUUUGCCUGAGUUUUCUAAGUCUGAAUUGCCACAUUUACCUGAAUUUCCUGAAAUUCCAAAACGCGAGCUACCAACUCUAUCAAGGCCUGAAUUGUCACAUUUACGUGAAAUUCCAACUUUGCCUAAGUUCGAAUUUCCUGAAAUCCCAAAAUCCGAGCUACCAACACUACCAAAGCCCGAAUUGCCCAAAAUCUCAACAUUAUCAAAGCGUGAACUUCCAAAAUUGCUAAAACUUGAUAUGCAUGUCAUUCCUAAGCCUGAAUCGCCAACUUUUUCAAGGCCAAAAAUCCCUCGAGUGCCUAAAAAGCCUUGAGCACGAAGAGUAUGAAAUCCUAUUUGCUUCGUUGAAGCAACAAUAUUGUUAAAAUGUUAACACUUAAUUAUGUUAUGUGAUCAUAUGCAUGUUUUUUUCUUUAUUGUGCUAGAAUCAUUUGCAACUUCCCUUUUGGAAAAUUUAUAUUUAUGUGAUUGUUCUAUAUAUCAUAUGUCUAUAAUUUUUGGUACUUUUUUCUCAUUCAAAGCAUAUUUAUAAAGUACAUCAAGCGUACUCGACAUACAACUUAUUGAGAAAAGAAAUGCUUAUCAACGGAUAUUAUUAUAUAUUUAUCAACCGAUAUUAUUGUAUGGCUAUAAUUUAAUGUCUCACACAAUAGGGCAUGGUCCAAUAAAUAUUAGGCAAAAGAAAUUAAGCAAGUAGAUAUAAAUUGAAGAAGAAGGUUAAAAUAUAAUUAAAAUGUUUACUUAUAAAAAUAGUUAAUUAGUUACAAUAGUUUAUCUUAAUUACAAUUCACGAUCUACUUUUAGUUAUAAUUACGCGACUUAACUUUUUUGUUUUGUAUAAUUCACACGUUUGUAUAAUAUUAUUUGUAUAGUUAUUGUAUGUGUAGACAUUGAAAUUUUGUGAGACUCUACAAGAUGCGUUCAAUUCGAGUUGGGACUCUACAAAUUGUGUUUAUCUCAAAUUAGGAUUCUUGAAGGCUACUCAACCUUAAACCCUAGUUUACCUAUAUAAAGGGUACUAAAUUCUUUUAAAAGAUAUCUCAGAAAUUCGAUAAAGAUAUCAAGAUCUUGAAAAUUCCAGAAAUUGAUGGAUUAUUCAUAAAGAGAGGUCAAAUCUAAAUCACGCCCUCGAAUCAUGGAUAAAUAUUUUAGGAGAGUGGAAUCAAGUUAUCAACAGAAUUGUGCCCGCAAUCUAUCUUGAUCAAUAAAAUUAUAUUUCUUCAUAUUUUAUUUGUAUGAUUUAUUUAUUUUCCAUAUGUUUAAAAUUGGCUUAAGUCAUCGACGGCCCCUUAAAGUUGUCCGCAUAAUUCAUUUAAACACCUCAACUAAACUUUGUACCUAUUGAACACCUAUGCCCCUUAAAAUUAAUACCUAUUGGACAUUUUUUUGUUAAUCAACAAAAAAACUGAAAUGUGUGUAAUACACUCACUAUGACAUGACGAUGACAUGACAGAAUGACAAAUUGAAUGAUGACACGUGGUAUUUGAGUCCAAAAAAUUAUUUAAAAAAUGAAACUUUAAAAGAUAACUAUUUUGAUCUAUUUAACUAAUUAAAAAAAUUAAAAAGAAUUCUAAAGAAAAAAUAACCCACCCACCCAUGGCAAUUCCUUCUUUUCCUCCAACAUCAUUCCAACUUUAACACCCCUUAAACGGUAACAUUCUUCUCUGUUUAAUGUUGGUACAAGGAAGAUAAUUAGGGCUUUGUCGAAAAUUUAUGAAUUCUUACCCACCAUAGCCGGAAAAAUGAAGUUAAUGGAAUUUAUUAACCAAGAUUCAAUUUUAUGUAAUGCCCAUUGAUUCCUAAAAUCAAGGGUGAUUUAACUUGUUUUGGAUCUUUUUAGUUGUUUCCUUUUGUGGGUCUUGUGUAAUUUCUGGUAAAAAAUUACUUAUUGCAAUUUAGAUGGAAUUGUUCUAAUGAGGUGAUCGAUUUAAAAUGACACAUCUAAUUGAUAAAACAACUAAUUUCACUAGCUAAUUUCAUGAUUCUUUUGUAUGUUUUCUUUCCCUUUUGUAUUUCUUUGCAUUUUUCUUGUUCUCUUUCCUCAUUAAGUUAUUUUGGUUGAUCAUGAUUCCCCUCUUCUAAAAUGUUAAAAAUGGUGGUAGGGUUGGAAAAGUUACUCUUUAAGAAGGAAGAAGAAAAAGAGAGAUAAAAAAAAAUUCAUUAAAAUACCCCUCUCACGCGCUCAAUAAAUGUGUGCUGCACUUUCUUUGCCAUGUCAACAAAAAUGUUUAAUAGAUAUUUAUUUUGAACAAUAUAAGUGUUUAAUAGGUACAAACCUUUCUUGAGGUGUCUAAAUGAAAUAUGCGGACAACUUUAAGUGUCUGUGUAUGACUUAAGCCUUUAAAAUUUGUUGCAAACCAAUUGAUUUGAUUAUAUAUAUAUAUAUAUAUAUAUAUAUAUAUAUAUCAUCCAUUUUUAUAUAUUUCAAUAAUACUUAAUUUAAUGCGUAUCUUAUUCCUUUGUAAGUGUUGCUGAAAUGUGUCAAUUUAUUUAUUUAUAUUCAUAUUUAAAUUUUAAUAAACAAUUUAUAAUUUUUAAGUAUUUGAAAUGGUGUGUUAUUGAUAAAUUUUGAGAUUAAAUAAAGUAUAGCAUUGUUUAGGUAUAUUUUAUAUUUAUUUCUGUGUAUAACUAUAAAAACUUAAUUAUGUUUGAACAUGUAUUUAAUAUUGAAAUUUUGUUGUCAUAAUAACGAAAUUAUUAUCAUCUGGUUUUGAAAAAAAUCCCCUCUGUACUUUGUAAAAUUAACUAAAGAAUCUUUAAUUAUGGUAGCACAAGUAUAGUGUAUGACACCAUAACAAAUCUUUGUAUACCUACGUGUACUACAAAAAUAAGAUAAAAGAAAAGUUAUAUAGUUGAGGAUGUUUAUUUUUUUAAAGUAAAAUUUAAGGAAUUUCAUAGUGUAACAUAAUAAUUAGAAUCUGUCCAGACUAAUUUACUAUUUACAUAAAAUCCCUUAAAAUGCAGUCGCCUAAUACAUUACUAUUAAUUGAUACAUAGUAAAUGAUACACAUUAAUUAACUAUUGUUGAGAUAAAAAGGGAGAAAAAUGGAACAUUUAAUUUGGUUAUUUAAAUCAGCUUCAGUUACGGUAAUUGAUUAUUAAGAAACCAUAAUUCAGCAGGUAAUUGAAUCACACUUCAAAAUUCAAGAUUAUAUCAUCCAGAUUGAAGACAAUUUUAUGAACAUCUAUUGAAAAGACGAAAAAUACGAAUUAGAAUUCUGUUAUUUUGGCUGAUACAUGAUGAAUGCAUCAAUAUUGCUAAGGCAUUCAAGAAUUUGAAUACGUCAAUUUUGCUGAGGCAUUCAGGAAUUUGGGUGAGCGAAUUGCAGUAUGAAAGUUACAAAAUCGUUGUUGGAGAUUCAUUUUCAUUUUCGAAUCUCAAAGCAGCAAUUGCAGCCGAGUUGAAUAUCGAUGUAUAAGGAAAAAUAUUGAAAAUUCGUUACAUUGUAUAAGGUAACUCUUGUCCAAUGAAGGUUAAUAAUGAUAUGGGUGUUAAACUAUAUUUAGAACUGAAAAAAUGAGCCAGGAUUUGCAAUGUAUCCAUUAUGUAUUGACAUAAUUUAAAAGAUUGGAGGUACUGUACAUAACUUUGAUGGAACGUGUGGAGAAAUUACAUGUGUAGAAGGCACAACAAAGGAUACAGAAGCUCUGGCAAUGGUUGAAUCUAGUUUAUUUGAUUCGUAUGAAAAUCCUGAAUUUGGAGUUACAAAUGUUAUAAUCGAUUCAGAAAGUGUAAAGGUGAAGACAGGUCAGAUAUAUAAAGAUAAAACAACACUUGUAGAUGUGAUGACGAAAUAUAAGAUAAAGAACAACUUCAAUUGCAAAGUAAAGAGAUCUGAUCAACAAAGGUAUGAUAGUGUUUGAAAUUUAUAUAUCUUUACAUGCUGAUACAAUUAGUACAUGAAACUGUACUGUUAAAACAUUCAUGUAGCAUUAGUUCAUUGAUAUUUUGAGUUAAAUUUGUUUUAAUCUAUGAUUCACUAUCAAUGAUAAGGGAAAAAUCAUCUACAGGAUAUAGACGGUUGUCGCGAUACAUACACAUGUUAAAUACCGUGUAUCCAAAUUCUUAUAUAAGAAUGCAGAAGAGUGAGGAGGAUGAAUUUAUGGAUCUGUUCUUCACCUUAAGACCAUUCAUUAGGGGUUUCAAUUACUGCAGACCAAUAGUUGUUGUGGAUGGUGCACAUCUGAGUGAAGCUUACAAAGGGGCAUUCGUGUUUUCGAAUGUGUAUGCUAUGUAUUUAUACCUAUCCAUUUACGUAGAAAGAUGGAUAAAAAGGUUGUUAGAUGUAUAUUUGUAGAGUAUGACAGUCAAUGAAAAUGGUAGUGUUGUUUUGACCCAAGCACGGAAAGUGUUACACUUCUCGGAAUUUGAUAUUUGAUGAAGCUUCUUCAGGGUGGUCUUCAGAAAAGGAAAUUCUUCCAGAUUCAAAUGUUCUCAAAGACGUAUUAGACUCGUCCCAUAUCCAGCUGAGUAUAGAUGAAGUUGAAAAUGAAGCUAACGAAGAUAUUGCUAAAGAAGGCUUGGCUCAAAAUCCUUGGCAAACUGGUGUGUAUCAACAACAAAGUGAAGCAGACGAGCUCAGUGGAAGAAACACACCCCAGUCUCUUAGAAGAUCAUCGAGGAUCAGAAAGCUUAAUUCAGAGUAUGUCAAUGCUGCCAUAGUAGAAGAAGAAGAUGAAAAAGAACUAGAGAAACUAGAGAAUUUUGAGGAAGCAUUCCAAAAUCCGAAGUGGAUUAAAGCUAUGAAGGAGGAGAUUGAUGCGCUAGAACUGAAUCAAACUUGGGAGCUCGUGAUAAAUCCAAGUGAUGUCAAACCUAUAUCUUGCAAAUGGAUUUACAAUAUAAAGUAUCACGCAAAUGAGUUAAUUGAAAGGCACAAAGCUCGUCUUGUAGACCGAGGCUUUUCUCAGCAAUAUGGACUAGAUUAUUAUAAAACAUUUAGUUCAGUGGCUAAGCUUACUAAAGUCCGGAUCAUACUUUCACUUGCUACCAGUAAAAAUUGGAACCUAUGGCAGAUAGACGUAAAGAAUGCCCUUUUGCACGGAGAGUUGGAUUGGGAGAUCUACAUAUGUCAAACAGUAGGCUUUCAGAAUCAAGCUUAUCCGGAGUAUGUAUGUAAGCUUUGAAAAACACUAUAUGGGUUAAAACAAGCACCAAGGGCAUGGUAUGGUAAUUUUUCUGAAUUUCUUAAUCAUAGUUGCUAUUCUGUAGCACUUGCAGAUUUCAGCUUGUUUUUGAAAGUUGUUGGAAAGAAACUAGCUAUUGUGAUAGUAUAUGUGGAUGAUCUAAUCCUAACUGGAGACUAUGAAGAAGAAAUUCUUCUAACAAAGAAGAAAUUUUCAGUUCGUUUUCAGAUGAAGGAACUUGGACAACUCAACCAUUUUUCUUGGCUUCGAGGUUGAUUGUAACAAAGAAGGAAUUUAUUUGCAUCAGAAAAAAUAUUUUAAAGGUCUGUUGAAAAAGUUUGGAAUGUCGAAUUGCAAACCAAUAUCAAUACCAUUGGAGAAAAAUGCUAAGAUGUGUGCACAUGUAGGAAAAGACAUAGCAGAUGUGACGAUGUAUCGACGGUUGGUAGGUUGUCUAAUUUAUUUAACUCAGACUCGACAUGAUAUUUCUUUUGCAGUUGGUGUGAUGAAUCGCUACAUGCACAAUCCAAAAAAGCACCAUAUGGAGGUUGUUCGACGAAUACUAAGAUAUGUGAAAAGUACAAUUGAUUAUGGUCUUUUGUACAUGAAAGGUGAAGAAUGCAAGCUAGUACGAUAUUGUGACUCUGACUAUGCAGAGGAUCAUGAUACCCGACGUUCAACAACUGGCUAUGUGUUUAAGCUUUGAGAUGGAGCGAUUUAUUGGUGCAGCAAAAGGCAAUCAAUUGUGCCGCUGUCAACAACAGAAACAGAGUAAAGGGCAACAGUAGUUGCUGCUCAAGAAAGUACGUGACUUAUGCAAUUGAUGAAAGAUUUACACCGAACAGUUGGUUACUCAGUUACCUUGUGCUGUGAUAAUCAUUUAGUGAUUUGCUUGGCUGAAAAUCCUACUUUUCAUGCUAGGACGAAACAUGUGAAAAUACAAUACCACUUCAUUAGGGAAAAAAUGUUGCAAAGAGAGAUUGACUCAGAGCAUAUAAAAAUUGAGCAACAAAUUGCAGACGUGUUCACGAAAGGCUUAAGUGUCCAUAACUUUGAAAGUUAAUGUCUACAACUAGGCAUGGUUAAGACCGGAGCUGAUGUCAAGAGGGGGUGUUAAAAGUUGUACAACAUCAGCUCCUAUUGUUUAGUUUGACUAUGUCUGCAGUAUAGCUAUAUUUUAGCUUCCAGUUGGUAGUUGUUUUCUUUUCACGUGAUAGUUUCCUAUUGUGUAGUAUUUGAAGAAUUGUGUUCUUAAUGUUUAGAUGAGUUGGUUUAGUAAAAUUACAGUAAUGGUUUAGUGGAAGUAUGAUUCCAUAAUAUGUAAACCUAUAUAAGGCAACGAAACCUAUUGAAUAAAAUCAUCCAGCAACAAUCUCUGCAGUAGAAUUUGGUUAUCUUUUGUUCUUCCUAUAAUUUCUUUUUUUCAACUAUUGAUUCCUCUAUCAUAGCUGUCUUUGUCAGCUUCGGUCCUAGCCAUAAUUUUAUUCCUUUCUUUUAGAAUAUUGUUAUUAACUUCUUAUCAUGGUCAUAUAUAUAUAUAUAUAUAUAUAUAUAUAUAUAUAUAUAUAUCUAACUAAAACAAUAAAAUUCUUUGUUUAUAAAAUGGAAAAGUUGAAAUAAAAGCGCAUACUAUUGAAUUUCAGCAGAGAGAACUAAAAAUGAAAGAAAAACUAUAGUGCAAUUCAAAUAACAAUUUUUAUUUUUUAUUUAUCUAUAAAAAUUAGAUAUCCGUUGUAACGACCCUCUUAGUCAUUUUAGAAAUUUCAAUCAUUAUCUUUAUAUUAACCUUUUUAGUAGAUUUUAUAGUUAAUUUAUAUGACUUAUAAGAAUGAGUGACAUGAUUUUUAGAUUUAAUAAAAGAUUAUUUUGUUGCUAAUAAUAAUGGGAAAAAAUAGAAAAAAAAGAAAAGGAAAUUAAUUAAAUAAAUAAAUAAAAUAAAAAGAAAAGGGGAAAAGUGUCCUAAACUUUUAAAAGCAUGUGAUGGCUUAUAUGAGAAAAAAAAUAGAAGAAGAAAGACUUGACCGUCAAAAAAAAAAGAAAGAAAGACAUACGCAGAGAAGAAGAAAAGAAAAGAAAGGGAGAAAAGAAAAGAAAAAAGGAGGAGCAAAAUCAAAAUUUUCAUCUCAAGGCAUCAAGGUAGUUAUUUUCAUCCUUUCUAUUAAGUUUUAAAUGUAAUUAGGAGUAGAUUUUUAAGUUAAAACGUGUAUAAUUUACACUAAUAUGUGAAACUAGUUUUUGAUUUCGUGUACAUGUAUGCACAUGUUAUUUACAUAUAAUUAUGGACUAGAGGAUAUUAAAUGAAUUAUUAUUGUUGGUGGAUGAAACAAUAAAUGUAUAAAAGAUAAGUUUUAUGCUGAUUAAUACUUUUAAUUCAUUAAGAGUUAGAUAGGAAAUUGAAGUGGGUUACUGUAGGUUUGUAAAGAAAAAAGGAUUGUGAGUUUGUUUUGAAAGUUAAUGGUAAUGGGUGGGUACUAAAUAUAUAGGAAUUUAAUGUGUGACAUAUAGAUUCUGAAAAUUUGUUGGGGUUUAAUUUUCUUUAAAUCUUUCUCAUAAUUAUUAUGUAAUUUGUCAAAGUGAUAGUGUCAUAACUAGUUAUAGAUGUGUAAUUGGGUUUUUUAGAAAUUAUCGAUGAUGUUCCCUUUGAAAGUAUGUCAAGAUUUCCAAUGGAAUAUUGAUAUGCCGUCAAUAACCAUUUUGGGAUAAUAAUUGGACAAUUAUAUUAUAUGGAAACUAUUAGUGUUGUAGUGUUUGGAGAAAUUAUGACUUAACUCUUGACUUGAAAUUUAAGAAAUAUGAGAUUUGACUUAUUAGUUACAAUCAAGAUUGAGAAACUUUAUUAUAAAUUUGGAUAAAUUAUUGGGUCAAAGUUAAACAGAUAGUACUAUGAGUGUUGUAAGAUUUAAACUCUUAUUGUGGUUAUUCAUUUGAAUAGAUUGUAUUGAUUUGAAAGUACAACAAAGGAGGAAGGCUAAAGUCCCGAAGUGAUUGUUCGAUAAAUUGAGGCAAGUGGAUUUCUAAACUCUUGUUAAGUGUAUGAAAUGCGUGUAUUUCUUUGUGGUAUAUGUUUGGGAGUAACGGGAUUGGUGAUGGGUUGACUUGUCCACAUUGAUUAAUUCUAAUGAUGAAAAAAAGGGAUAUAACAAAAGGCACUGUGAUUAAUUAUAUAUGUGUGAUGUGUUGAGAAAGGGAUGAAGGCUUGUUGAAUCAUUGUUGAUGUGAUUUCAUGUUUGUGUUGUUGUGAACUGUGUGAUGUUAUGAAAAUGAUCAUCUCCUCAUUAUUUGUGUGAACUUGUCAUCUGCAUUAUUCUGAGGCAUUGGAUGUGACAAGUCUUAUGUGCAUUGAGAAAGAAUGAGUACUUAAGAGGAUGUGCAUUUCGAGGGACGUAUCGCGCGCCGUGAUGGAUACAUAUUUCAAGGAACGCAUUGCACGCCGCGAUGGUUACUAUUAUUGAAGGUCGUGUCAUGCGCCGCGAUAGAUGCAUGGACAGAUAUUUCCCCCAUGGGUCCCGGACUGAGAGACAGCAGGUGUGUAUCACUAGGUCAGACAUGCAUCAUUAUACUUGACAUUGCAUUCCAUUUCAUUGCACAUACUUAUCAUUAGUGAAUUUGAUAUCCUGUUUUUCCGAUCUUCUGAUUGUCUUUCUGUGGAACUUGUGAUUGAUCAAUAUUGAGCUUGUUAUUGCGGAUUUGUAGUUUGUUAAAAGUGUUGUUGCUGAGGAUAUGUAAUUUUUCUAAUUGUUGUUAUUGAGCUACGUGCUAUGUAAAUUGUGAUCUGUUAGGUUGAGUUGAUUUUAAUGCAGGUUGUAGUUGUGGAGGUUCGCUGGGGGUGGUAGGAGUACCCGUAUUUCAUCCCCUUAGCCUGUGUUUAGAGGUUUACUUGCUGAGUAUCAUGUGGUUUGGUACUCACCCCUUGCUUCUACAAAUUUUUUUGUAGGUUAUGAGCCUGGAUUUUUGUUGUACUUGUCAUUCUUUUCUUUUCUCAGGCUUCUUAGAGAUUUGUGAGGUAGUUGUUUCCAUCUCAGCAGACUUUUUUCUCCUUAAUUAUGAUCUUGUUCUAUUCUAGAAACAAGUUCAUUUGAGACUUGAGUUUUCAUUUGAAUCAAUUGUAAUAUUUUAGAGGCUUGUACACGUGACUACCAAGUUUUGGUGUUUUUAUUAAGUUACUUAUAUUUUAUUUCCGCACUUAUUGUAAUGGUUGAGUUUUAGGCUGACUUGUCUUGGUGGGAUAAGACGAGUGCCAUCGCGUCCAUUUUUGGGUCGUGACAUCCGCUCGUUUUAUUGUUGGUUACAAGACAUUUCAAAGCACACCCGCUAAUAACAACACAUAUUAUUACAAGACUUUGAGACAACAGAGAGAACUAAAAAAAGAAAAAAAAAACUAUAGUGCAAAUCAAAUGACAACUUUUAUUUUUUAUUUAUCUAUAAAAAUUAGAUAUCCGCUCAUUUUAUUUUUGUUACAAGACAUUUCAAAGUACACCCGCUAAUAACAACACAUAUUAUUACAAGACUUUGAGAAAACAACUUAAAUCCAAGCAUUUGGUAUACAUUGUUUCAAUUAUUCAGAAAUGUUAUCUUAUUCAUAUCGAUUUUUUCAAAAUACAUUAUUUUAAAGAAUUCGACAUAUAUUUAUCGAUAUUUUCAAAGAGUCCUCGUAUAUAAUAUUUAUGUAUCACUUAAUGUGAUAAUUCUCAAUAUCUUUGGUUACAUUGAGGAGUAAUUCGAUGAAUGUGUGUGGAUCUGGCACAUUAGCAUUUUUCUUUUCAUAUUCUAUGAUUAAAGUAACUAAAUUAUUUUCACCUUUUGUCUCAACAUGAAAAGUGAUAUAAAAUGAUUUGUAAUACUCUAAUAUAUCUCCUUCAAUUAUCUUUUUUUUUAAUUAGCUUCUUUUCUUCAUCUAUUUCUUCCACUUUCUCCUUUGCCACCACUUCUUUCCCAUCUGUAAAACGAAUUAAAUAUAGUAAAUAUUUCAUACUAUUAAUUUCACUUUUAAAUGAACGGGUGAGUUAGUUUGAAUAUCAACGGAUUAAAAAUGGAUUGAGUCAAUAAAUAAUAAAGAAUAGAGAUAAUAUUAUUAUAUUAUUCUUUGACUUUAUUACAUUUUUGUUUUAAAAAAUGUGUUAGAUGAUAAAUAAUAUUUAAUACCAAAGGUAAAUAAUCUCUUGAUUUUCUAAAUUGGACAAGUUUUAUUAGACAUCUUUUUUAAUAUAUUUGACAACUAUUGUUAGAUAGAGAGAGUAUUACUUGAAUUUUUUUCUCUUAUAUAUUUUUAUGAAAUUCAUAAUCUCUAUUAAUUUAAGAGAUUUGUUAUCCUAAUAGAUUUGGGAAAAGAAAUAUAUUUUUUCCUUAUAGGAAUAAUGGAAAGAACAUUUUCCUUGAAGGAUUGUGACUACUUAUUUGUACGCUCUUUUUUUUUAUAGCAGAAGACAUUCUGUUUUUGCUUGAAUAAUUAGACCUAGAUGAAUUUUGUUAAAUCCUUGUGUUAUUUUUUUUCUUUAUAUUUUUUAUUUGUAAUUAUGUGCUUAUUAAUCCACGAUAUUUCUGACACAAUAUUGAUAUCAUAUAUAUAUUUGAAGAAUGUAUGAACCAAACAUGUUGUGAUAAAUAUAAAAUCAAAUAAAAUAAAGGUUUACCAUGAAUGAAGUUCCAAAAGAUAACAGAGUCAACUGUGCCCCAUUCACCUUCAUGAACAUCCACAUUUUGUAUGUUAUUAGGGGAAAUGGUGGAGAUAUGGUGUGGCCUGUGCCUAUAUACUUCAUAAAAAAUAUCUCCAUCACACUUAAUUUCUAUCUCAGAAACUAACUUUCAAUGGAGGCUCAUUUUUCAUCUAUGAUAUUAUAUAUCACAAAGUUCUAAUAAAAAGUGUGUGGUUCAAUCAUUACAUGAGAUACUAUUCCCUUUUAUAGUUAGACAAUGUCAAUAUUUCUAACCUCUAGAUUAUAAUACAUUUUUUUACUUUUUCUGCCUAUACAUAAUUAGGCGUGUCUAUGUAUAUACACAAUUAUUUUGUUCAUGAGCAUUUUUUAAAGAUUGUCAUACAUUUAGUAAAUACCAAAAGUGUUUUUAAGUCAAAGUCAUAAGUUUGGUCAUUUUUAAUUUUAUGAUGAUCAUAAUAUCUCAUAAAUCAUGUCUCGCGUUGUUAAAGAACUUAAGUCAUGGUACGGAUAAGUUCAUUUUUUAAGAGGUUGAGGAUUCAAGUCCCUCCUUCGGCUCCUGGCUUCGUUGUUUUGGGGUAACAAGUGGAGACCACAUUAGAGAUAGGGGCAAAAAUACAUAAUCAACUAAUAAAAGAUAGAAAUUAAAAACUGAUUCUUUUAAAGAUAAAUCUAUGCAAUUAAAUGAAAAAAGUCCAUUUACAUAUUUUAUAUCGGAUCCUUAAGUAAAGAUUAAUAAAUCAACAGAAUUAUGUUCAUAUUUUGGUCUAUAAGCAGGGACUGAGUCACCUGAAUUGGACACCUUUCGUCGAAAAAUUAUACUAUAUAUAAACGUACAGUUUUAAUUUAUAUUGAUACAUACAGUAUUUUCGACACCCUGAAAUAACAAAGUAACCUGUGGUGGAUAUGGCUAUAAUUGUUGCAAAUUAUUUUGUUAUUCUUAAAGUUUGUAAGUAAAUAAACAUGAGUUAGGACCCGUUUGGAUGGGUUUAAUAAAAGCAGUUUUAAAAAAAUACUUUUGAAAGUGCUGAAACUUAUUUUUAAAAUAAGCAGUUAUGCGUUUGGAUAAAAGUGUUGAAGUUAAAAAAAAAGUUGUUGAUGUGUUCGGCAAAUAAGUGCUGAUAAACAGCUUUUUAAAUCAAAAUGUCUGAAAUACUCUUAAAAGCUGUUAACAUAAUAAAAGUUAAUUAAUUUAUAUUUUACACCCAUAAAUAAUUAUAUUUUGCCAUCAUUCACAUAUUUCUUUCUCAUCACAAAUUAUUUAUAAAAGAAUAUAAACUUAUUAUAGAUUUUAAAGAUAUAUAAUUUGAAUAGAUCAAAGAACGAAUUAAAAAACAGAAUAUCUCAGAAAUAAAUCAGUUACGAAAUACAAUAUCUCAGAAAUCAUAUGUAUGACAAAUCACACGCCAAAAGUGAGUAAAUGAAGCAAAUCAAAAAACAUUAUCGGCAUAGAUCGAGAAUUUUUUCAGCUGAUUUUAAUUUUUUAACAUAUUAUCGGCAUCAAUCGAGAGAAAAGGAAGAAAGCUAAUAAAAAAUAAUCGAAAAAACUUACUUCAAGGUUUAUCUUCACUUAAAAUUGGAAGAAUAGGAAGAAGUGCAGCAACUAUGCCAAACGUGAAAACGAAAAAAUGGAAGAAAGAGAUGUUAGGGUUAUGUGGGUAAUUUGGAGAUUCUAUAAAAAUAUUAAGGGCAAAAAGAUAAAAAUGUGGUCAACUUAAAACAGCUUAUAAGCUAAAAAAAAAGACACCCCUACCCCAGCUUUUAACUUUUGGCUUAAAAUAAGUUCUUUUUAACUUAAAAUAAGUUAUUUUGAGUAAUUGCCAAACAGCUAAAUAAGUCAAAAACCAGCUUUUAAGUCAAUUUGACCAUGAGUAAGUUUACUAUAAAUGAUCAGUAGCUUGGUGGUAAAUAGUGUUAUGUUUGACUUGAGUGACCCGAGUUCGAAACUCACCUCUAAUGUGUAUUUUCUUUCAAUUAAAAUAGACCAAUUUAUCCAAAUUAAAUCACAAUAUUAUUAGGGGGCGAUUAUCUCAUAAGAAUAACUAUUCAAUGAUUAUAUUUGCUUAUAUAUGUUGAGAUUAUAUUAGCUUAUAUCACAAUAUUAUUAGUAAUGAUUAUAUUAGCUUAUAUCACAAUAUUAUUAGUAAUGAUUAUAUUAGCUUAUAUAUAUUGCGAAUGUUAUUAAAUAAUAUUAGUAAUGCAUGAAUUAUUUUUUUCUCAUAUAGACAACCAAAUACUAUACUAUCUCUUGGACGAAAUUUUACGUUAGAGAUCAAUUAUAGACAUGUUUUGUAAUAGAAUUGGAGAGGGGACCUUGUCCAUGCCAGUGCUAAUACUACAUAUCCCUAUCACUACUAAUUUGUGUGCUGAAGCAAUAGCCAUACAAGAUGGAUUGCCUAUUCAUUGAGUUAUUUUCUAAAGCUUUGACUAUAUAAAUCCAUUCAUUAAUUUUUCGGAAAAAGUUCUGAAAAAUAUUUUAAUUUUGGACAAAAUUAUUGUUACAGUAUCAAAUUUUAUAGAGGACUUUUUACCAAUACACUAUUUAAUAGUGUAUUUUAAAUGUAUAUGUGCGCACGUGGACAUAUUACUAUUUAUAAUUAUGUAAUAUUUAUGAUGUCUACGUGGACACAUAUAUACGUUUUAAAUACAUUAUUAAAUAGUGUAGGGGAAAAAAAGAUCAUUUUCAAAGUUUAUUAUGUUACAACAAUUUUGAUUAGAAUUCGAAUAUAUUUCAAACAAUUUCCUCUUAACUAAUUAUAAGUGCGUAUCUCUACCCUCUUAUAAUUAAGUAAAAAUGUCAAUAUAUCUAGACUCUAGACUAUAAAUUUCAUAUUUUCUUUGCCUAUACAUAAUUAGGUGUGUGCAUUGUACUUGCACACAAUUAUUAUCCAAUAAGCUACUUUUCUAUUAAGAAAAGGUAUUAGGUAAAGUUUCUAAGUGGUUCAACCUAGUUCAUAAACAUAUUUUUUAAGCUUAUCAUAUAGUUGACAAAUACUAAAAGUAAUUAUAAUUCGAAAUCAACCAUAUAUGUAUUAGAAGGAGCUUUUUGUUAUUAAACUAUAUGAAGUUUGAAGACGAAUAAAGUAGAGAAAAGAUAAAGAUUUUUUAUUCAUCUUGAAGUAUAUUCAGGAUUCAUUGAUCUUUCAAUGAUCUUAUUUACAAUGAAGGAAAACCCUUUAUUUAUAGGGGAAAAUACCCAAGUACCCCCUCAACCUAUGCCCAAAAUCCCAGAGACACACUUAUACUAUACUAAGGUCCUAUUACCCCCCUUGAACUUAUUUUAUAUGUAAUUUUCUGUCCCUUUUUAGCCUACGUGGCACUAAUUCGAAAAAAAAAAUCAACCAUCGUUGGACCCACAAGAUAGUGCCACGUAAGAUAAAAAGGGGUAAAAAAUUAUUAAUAAAAUAAGUUAAGGGGUGUAAUAGGACCUUAGUAUAGUAUAAGUGUGUCUUUGAGAUUUCGGGCAUAGGUUGAGGGGGUACUUGGGCAUUAUCCCUAUUUAUAGGGAAAACCUUACUUGAUCCCCAAGUAGGAUUCCUAACCAUAUCCUACAAGGACUACACAUAAUUAGACAUUCACUAUAACACAAAUUGUUUAUAACACUCCCCCUUGAAUGUCAUAGAUAAUGUGCAUAGUUAAAACCUUACUAGAAAAAACCAGUGAGAAAAAAAUCUAGUGAAGGAAAAAGAAUACACAUAUCUAAUAAUAAACAUUAUGAAUGCCUCAUUAAAAACCUUACAAGGAAAAUCUAGUGGGACAAAACUUUGUCAGGGAAAAAGAGUACAUGGCGUAUUAACUCUCCCUAAUGACAACAUCAAUUCUGAGACUAGAAUUUUCGUUUUCAAAACUUGAGCAUCAUCUUCCUGAAAGUUGUAGUUGGUAGAGAAUUGGUGGAUAAAUCAAUCGUAGUGUUACUUGAACAAACAUGUUGCAUGUUGAUAUCACCAUUCUUGGGAGCUCAUGAGUGUAGAAAAAUCUUGAUGAAAUAUGCUUUCUUCUAUCUGCUUUUAUGAAUCUUUCCUUCAGGAUCAAAAAUUUCUGCAAGUUCCUUACUUCUACUUCUUUAAGCAAGUAAUAUAUUGCCUUAUGAAAACUCUUCAAGAGUUUUAAUUAUAGUCGUCAACUUGCAUAAUAAUACUUGUAUAUGCUCUAUGCAUUUUGAAUCAAUAUAAUCCUUAUGAGAAUGAUAAAUCAGUUUUUCAAAAACUUGUAUAUGCUUUAAAUUUUGAACUGAUCGGAUAUUUUCAUCUCAAUUUUGUUAAGUAACAACGUUAGUGUUAGAUGUAUGACAUCUUUCAGUGCCUAGAUUGCAAGUUAAAUAAAUUUUACGCUUACCAAGAUUCACCAUUCCACUUUUCACUUGAUUAUUAUUUCUACACCAACAUGCUUUAAUUGUCGUAGAAUUUAUAUCAUAAUAAUCUUUUACAAUAUUGCGUGAUAUUGUAUCAAAGAUACCGUCAACGAUAUAUCAUUUUGCAUUGAUUCACAAUACGACAUAAUUUAUUAGGAUCUCAUCACUUCAUUAUUUUUAGGUAGCUACCCCUCUCAUGAGGUUUUAUAAAGUGUUAUGUCGUAAGAUCUCCAGAGCACAUUGUAUCCUUAUUAUGAUCAUUUUGAUUAUUUGAUCCUCCCCCUUUUUCAAGGAUUAUUUUAUUUAGAAUUGAUUAGUCUAUCAUGCUUCAUGCAUGUCAUAGACUCUAUUGGACAUUCAAUAGGAGUAUUUACAACUUUUGUGUUGCUUCUAAUCUCCCCCCUUACGUUAGACAAACUAACAUAUAUCUCUAUAUUUUGGAGAAUCUAUCUUUGUGCAUCAUAGUAUAUCCAUUAAUCAUAUUUUGCAAAUCAAAAUUAUCCGAUGAAAACUAUUUGAUCCCUGACCAUAAACCAAUUAAUAAUAAAAAUGAUCAUAACUUAUUGGUGUGAUUCAUAUAAUUACGUUUGUAUGUAAUAUCAUAUUUCAGAUCAACACAUGAAACUUUAUUUUCAUAAAUAAUGAUUCACUAUGUGUGACAUUUAGUGUCACAUCAUGUUAUAUAUUUAUCAAUAUUAUCAAGGUGAAUUAUCUUGAUUUCAUAUUUUGAAAGUUGUGCUUUUAGCUCAAUCAUCUUGCACAAUUUGCGAAUGUCAAACUGCAAGUUUACAACAAACGCACAUGGCAUUAUCUUAUUGAUGCAUCUUUUUAUUAUAUCACAUGAUAGGUAAACGGGCCCAUAUUCACCUUUUAUACUUUUCAGAAUUUAGGGAUUUAGUCCCAACUUUAGUUGAUCCAAUCAACUUUAUCACGAGAACAAGCAACGUAAAGAAUUCUCGAAGAAUCUUCUAGUUUUUCAAUGUAUGUCCAUUACUUAGUAUGCACAUCUUUGAGAUGACCAAAUUAUUCAUGCCAACUAAUAAAAUUAGUAGUACUCGUAAAUUCCAAGUUUACUACGCCAUGUGUCUUUUGCUUUAGUAAAUUUCUGAUUUAUUAUUUUAUGAGUAAAUUUUAAUUUUAUCAUCAAUAUGGUGCAUUCAGACUCAAACCCAACGUCUUAUGCCAUAAAUAAAUGAGGGACUUGAAUCCAACAUCUUUCACCACAAAGCAUCAAGACUUCUUAUGUCUUACCCUCUUGAUGCGAUUGGACAUAAAUGCAUCGUCUUAUUCUUUUGGUGCGAUAAAACUUAAAUCUAUCGUCUUACCCAUUAUGAGGCUCAACCUCAAGCCUUCAAAAUAAUUGUAAUUUUAUCACCUUAGAUGAUAAUUAACAUAAUUGUACACUAUAAUUACUCACAAAGUUGAGAUUAUUGAUUUAUUAUAAUCAACAUUAGUCGUUAAUAAAUAUAGCUUAAUAGAUGACAUACCUCAUAAAAAGGUCGAAAACAUACUUUUCACUAAAUUGUGCUUAUUUAAUUAUUAAAAUAAAUUAAAGAAUUCUAUUCCAGUCGAUUAAAAUUGAAGGUAUAAAAAGUCAACAAGUCUCUUUAAAUACUUACUUUAGAUGGUACCUCCAGAUCUGUUACAUAAAUAGUUAUAACAUAAAGAUAAAUCAUACAUUGAAGAUAUAAGAACCUUAUUGCAUAACUUAUGCAAGAUCUCUUUUGCAUUUUUUCCGUCUUCUUCAUCAUUCUUUAAGAAUAGAACAAUCGUACUGAUAACGUGUUAUGAAACUAUAUGAAGUUAGAAGAGAAUAAAGUAGGGAAAAGAGAAAGAUUUUUUAUUCAUCUUGAAGCAUAUUCAGGAUUCAUUGAUCUUUCAAUGAUCUUAUUUACAAUGAAGGAAAACCCUUUAUUUAUAGGGAAAACCCUACUUGGUCUCCAAGUAGGAUUGCUAACCAUAUCCUACAAGGACUACACAUAAUUAGACAUUCACUAUAACACAAAUUAUUUAUAACACUUUUAUAUAUUUUUAUUUAUCAAUAUCCACUCCCUUUAUUUUCUCUACAUAUAUAUUAGAUAUUUCAAAGCAAACUCAUUAACCACACCACAUAAUAUUAUUUCAAGUACGUACAUAUAUGUAUUUAUGUAUCACUUGAUGUGGUAACUCUCAAUAUCUUUAGUGAUAUUGAUACACAAUUCCAUGAAAGUUUGUGGAUCAGGCACAUGUACAUUCUUCUUUUCAUAUUCCAAAAUCCAAGUAACUAAGUUGUUUUCAUCCUUUGUCUCAACAUGAAUAGUGAGGUAAAAUGAUUCAUAAUAUUCUAACAUAUCUCCUUCAGUCAUCAUUUUUUUAACCAACUUCUUUUCUUCAUCUAUUUUUUCAAUAACUUCCUUUGCCACAAUCUCUUUCCCAUCAACACAAACAAAUAUAUAUAGUAAAAUUAAAUUCAUACUACUUUCGCUUAGUAAUGAUUGACUGAGUUGGACUGAAUUUGGACAAACUAAAACCGAUAUGAAUUAAUAUAAUAUGGAUUUACGUACCAUGUGUGAAUUUCCAGAACCUAACAGAGCUAAUAGUACCCAAAUCACCUUCAUGAAUAUCCACAUUUUGUAUCUCAUCAGGGCAUAUGUUGCACAUAUAAUGUGGUUUGUACAUAAUUAUUUCAUGAAACACAUCUCCAUCACAUUUGAUAUUUAUCUCAGAAACCAACUUACCUUCAAGACUCAUUUUUUCUAUGAUAUAUGACUAAGUUAUAAUAACAAAUAUGUGCUUCAUCAUUACAUGAAUAGUUCUGCCCUUUUAUAGUCAAGCAAUGUAAAUAUGUCUAGACUUUAGACUAUAAAUUUCAUUUUUUUUCAUAUACAUAAUUAGGUGUGUGUCUGUAAUUAACUACACACAAUUAUUACGGAAUGAGAGUCUUUGGUUAUAUCUAGUACCCAAUAUGCUACUUUUAUAUUAAGUAGGUUAAGUUUCUAAGUGGUUCAAACUAGUUCAUAAGCAUAUUUUUAAAGCUUAAAUAUAUAGUUGGCAAACACCUAUAACUCAAGUGCUUAUAAUUCGAUAUCAACCAUAAGUUGGUCAUUUUUUAUUUAUGAUUUUACAUAUUGUAAUCACUUUUAAUUUGAUGAAUCGCUUUACAAUUUUACCUUUUCUAUCUUUGUACUCCCUAAAAUGUUGUUUUUAAAACAUGGCAUAAUACGCGCACGAUGCUAUGUAGGACGCAAAAUUUCCAUGUAGGGUGCUAUGUAGGACGAAUAUGCCAAUUUGUUCAAUUUUAUACAAGUUUAAAUUUUUAAUUGUGCACAUCAAAAGUUAAGAGUCAGAGUUGCCAACUGAAGCUAAGUUAAGAGUCAUGUUUAUAUAUUAUGCCUAAAUUAAAAUUAGAAUGUUACCGGUUAAAAUAUGACCUAACAAACAAUUUUUUCUACCAAUUAUCACAACAAAAACUUAGUUCUCAAUUCCUAUUUUCAACAUACACAUAUCUAUAUAAACUUGUCAAAAGUGAAACUUAAAAGGACAAUCAAUCUUCAACGAUGUCUUACAACGAGAAUCAAUCUUUUUUCUUGUUAUUACAUGUCACUUUGUCAAUAACAAGUUGCUAUGUAAUUUAAGCUGAAGCGCGCCAUCUUCUUGAAGUAACUAUUCCCGAGCUUCCUAAGCCUUAAUUGCUUCCAAAAAUCCUAACUUUACCAAAUCCUAAAUUCCUGAAAUUCCAAAUCUGCUACGAAUUCUCUACCAAAGCCCGGAGUUCCAACUUUAUCAAAACUCGAGAUGUCUGUCAUCCUAAGGCUAAACUACCAACUUUGUCAAAGCCGAAAAUUCCUCAAGUGCCUAAAAUGCCAUGAGCACGAGGCAUGUUAAAAAUGUAUUAUGUAUUGUGUGAUAAUAUAUGUAUUUGAAGCUUUCCUUUUGGAAAGAUUAUUUAUGUGAUUUUUAUGAAUAGAAUUGUUUUUGUAAUUGUUCUUUUUUCAGUUCACUAAUGUACUUGUGUUACUAGUGACAUUAUACACUUCUUUAUUUGUACUCUAAGACUAGGUUUCAGUAUGUUUGUCUGAUUUGAUUUGACAUGGUAUUUAAGACUCUUUGUAUAUGUCUCUAAAGCCUUUAACAAUAUUGGAUUUAAUGACACUUGACUAAUGUCGAUAAAAUCUUUAACACUCUUUAUUAAUGUGUAUAUGUUAUUGCUACUAAAAGUUGUUAUUGUUAUAAUGAUUGUGAUCUUAAUUAAAGAUACAAAAAAUGUAGCAAAAUAUACUUCAAUCUUUUAAUCUUAAUUAAAGAUGCGAAGAAUCUUUACGAAUAUGUUUUAAGUUCAUAUAUUUGCUUUAACAAACCUGAAUUGUCAACACAAAUGUUCAAACACCAAUAUAAGUAUUGAUAGUUAAAUUAUAAUAAAAACAUCUAAAUUUUUGUAUUACAAGAAAAAGUAACAAAAGAUAGAGAUAAGAAUGGAGUUGAGAAGUUUCAACUCUAGAAAAAAAAUGAGAGGAACAUACAGUUUCUUUACGUUAUGCAUAACUCUUAUGUUAACAACUAGCUAGUCAUAUUUAAUCAAUUGGUAAUUGAGCUUGAAUUGCAAAUAAAACUCUCUAAUAUUUACUCGGCCCAAUAUUUCCAUCUAAAUAAGUUUCAUUCACAAUUUUUAACACAUAAGCCCGUACUAAAUUGAUUUGGUUCACAAUGGAUACUUUUACUACAUCGUGGGUGGCUGUAGUCGUUUGAGUAGUAGAGUUUAUUUUUGGUAAUAGCUGUCUGGGUCAACGGAUCCCACGACGAACCGUCAUGGGUACGACGGACCGUCGAGGGGGUCUCGUUCCAAAACACAUAGACCCUGGAAAUUUGGGUACUGAGAUCAACUCUCUGAACUUCACGACGGAAUGGCAGGAUGGACCGUCAUUUGCACGACGGACCGUCACAGACUCUUUAAGGAAUUCGACUCUAACUUUGUGACGGAAACAGCAGAACGGACCGUCGCAGGCACGACUGGCCGUCAUGAGCUGCGUAACCCUGACUGGGUCGGAUUUCUGUUAAAGGUUUUUAAGGAGCGUUUUGGACUAUUUAUGACAAACUGUAUGGAAUUAGGGGAUAAGUUUAAUAACUUAUUUACUUGGGGUUUAAAGGAGAUAACCUUGAAAUAAAUAGUGAGUCACUUUUACCAUCUUUUAUACUUAAUUAUAUGGUAAUUAGGGUAAAACAAAGGGAAUUGGAAAGAGAAAAUUAAAAAGAAAGAAGAGAGAAACGAGCGAGGGAAAGAGAAGAACGCAGAGGAAAGCAAAGGUUUUGGGGGAUAGCUUGCUUGAUCACGAUCCUUCGGUUGAGGUAGGUUAUGGUUUAUGCUAUUUCGUAGUAAACUCUUGAUAGCGAAUGAUAUGUAUUGGGUAGUAUUGUAAAGUCUUCUAUAUGCUUAAUUGUGUGCUUGCAUGAUGUGAUUAUGUAAUUGUAAUGGAUUGGAAAGAUGAGGAUGUGAAUCUUAAACCUUAAAUCCACUUUGUUAAUGAUGAUGCCUUGGUAUAAAAGAAGGCUUGAUGAAUAUAAAAAAAUGAGAUUAGGGGAUCUGGUGUCACGUACCGACACGUAGAAUUAGGGGAUCAGAGUGUCACGUACCGACACAAGAAAUUAAGGGAUCGGGUGUCACGAACCGACACGUAGUAGUAGGGAAUCGGAGUGUCACGUUCCGACACCAGGAUAUUAAAGAGAAUGAAUCUUUAGGGGAUCGGAGUGUCACCUUCCGAUACCAGGAUGAUAAAGAGAAUGAAUCUUGAAUUAUGUUAAUAUACUCAAAUUUAAAGAACCUAUUUGCCCAAACGAGUAUGGUGUGGAGGCUUGAGUCCUCAUAGAUGUGCUUGGGUUGUGUCCAAAGGUUAUGGUACUUGUUGUUAUCAACAGUUGAGUAUGGUAGUCGAUUUUAUGUUAUUAUCUGAUAUAUAUUGCUUUCUAUUUUGAGUUGGCCGAUGAUACCUACUCAGUACUUCUGCCUUGUACUGACCCCUACGUGUAAUUUUCUUCUUUGUUAUUUGUGGAGUGCAGCAAACGUGCCAUCGUCUUCAACUCGUCCUCAACUCUAGCCAGUCUUCAUCACGUCAGAUUUCAGGGUGAGUUAUUUUUCCUAGCUCGGACUGGAUUCUCUCUCAUUCAUGUCUUGAUGUCCUUGAAGUUCGGACAUGGACCAUUUGUUUACUUAUUUUAGCUUCCUAGAUACUCUUAGAUUAGUAAUUUGAGGAUAGAAUGUUCUUGUGGUGAUGACUUCCAGAUUUUGGGAAUAAUAAGUAUUAAAUUUUAGAAGUUAUUUAUUGAUUUCAUUAAUGAGUUUUAAGCCUUCCGCAUUAUAUUCUGUUUAUUAUGGUUGAAAUGUAUGGGUUUAGAUUGGUUGGUUCGCUCACAUAGGAUGGUAAGUGUGGGUGCCACUCGCGGCUCGUUUUGGGUCGUGACAAACUUGUUAUCAGAGCAUUAGGUUCGUUGGUCUCAUUACACAAGAACGAGUCUAGUAGCGUCUUGAGGAACGGUAGGGGGACGCCUUUACUUUUUUUUGAGAGGCUACAAGACUUUAGGAAAAUUGCAUUCUUUCUUUCUUUCAUGCUAUUACUUGGAUCCAAUUGGUAUCUAGGUGAUACAAAUUGGUAUCUGACCAUCUUCACUCUAUUUUGGCAGAUGGUUAGAACUAGAGCAACAACCGCGCCAACACCAACACCGGCAAGACAGCAUGCGUCUGAGCCAGCCACUGGGGCUGUAGCUCGAAGAGGAGCAGUGGCAAGAGGUCGUGGUAGAGGUCGCGGGAGGACGUCCACUAGAGGAAGAGGACAAGCACCUGGCCCAGCUAGUACUAGAGCGGUGACUCCUCCACCGACUAAGGAAGUAUUAAGAGAGGGUGAGGAAGGGGAGAAUGAACAAGUGCAGAAUGAGGAAUUACCACCCGAACCUACCCUAGAGAUGAUUAACCAGGUUCUCGCUUAUCUUAGCGGGUUAUCCGAUCAAGGCCAAACGCCUCCAGUGUUUUCUGCACCAGCACCUCAGGUUCUGGGAGUACAACAUGCAACUGCUGUGGCUCCCCGCAUGGAUGCCUCAUUGGAAAUAGAAACGUUUCCUCGAUUGACUACAGGGCCUAUAAUGACGAGUGAUCAGCACGAACUCUUCACUAAGUUCUUGAAAUUGAAACCUCCGGUCUUCAAGGGUGCUGAAUCUGAGGAUGCCUAUGAUUUUCUGGUUGAUUGUCAUGAGGUUCUACAUAAGAUGGGCAUAGUGGAACGAUUCAGUGUUGAGUUUGUAACCUAUCAGUUUCAGGGAAAUGCCAAAAUGUGGUGGUGAUCGUAUGUUGAGUGUCAACCAGUACAGGAACCACCCAUGACUUGGGCAUCAUUCUCUAGCUUAUUUAUGGAGAAGUAUAUACCCCGGACUUUGAGUGAUAGGAAGAGAGAUGAGUUCCUGAGCUUAGAGCAAGGCAGGAUGUCGGUUACUGCUUAUGAGGCUAAGUUUCGUGCAUUAUCCAGGUAUGCCACCCAGCUUUGCUUCAGUCCACAAGAGCGGAUUCGCCGUUUGUGAAGGGAUUGAGGUCAGAUUUGCAGAUUCCAGCCUUACAGGUAGCUACUGCAGCAAAAUCCUUUCAGGAGGUGGUAGAUUUUGUGAUAGAAGUGGAGGGAGUGAAGUCAGAAGACUUCACCAUAGCAUCGACACCUAAGAAGUUUCGUAAGGGAGGUGAGUUUGGUGGGUCUUACUCCAGAGGGCAGAGUUCAGGAGGUUACCCAACCCGACCUAUUCAGUCUUUACUACAGGCUGUAGCUGGGGGUCCACCGCAGACCGGUCAACACUUCUCUGAGUUAAGAGGUUAUCCCCAGACUCCGUCUUUCUCACAGAGACCUAUGCUUGAACCCAGAGAGUGUUAUGGAUAUGGGGAGACUAGACAUAUUAGGAGGUAUUGUCCAAAACAGAGUUACAGACCCCCAAUAGUCAGAGGUAGAGGUGGUCAUGGAAGAGGCCGCUAUUCUGGAGGGCGGGGUGGCCAAGGUAAUGGAGGUCACCAAAUCAACCGGGGUAGCGGGCAAACUGGAACUUCUGCAGUGCAACAUGGUAGGGGCAGCGGGCAGACAGGUGAUAGGACCCAUUGUUAUGCUUUCCCUGUGAGGUCUGAAGCGGAGACAUCUGAUGUUAUUAUCACAAGUAAUCUUUUGGUUUGUGAUUGCAUGGCUUCUGUAUUAUUUGAUCCUGGAUCCACAUUUUCAUAUGUAUCUUCCUCAUUUGCUACUGGUUUUGAUUUACAUUGUGAUUUGCUUGACAUGCCUAUUCGUGUUUCUACUCCGGUGGGUGAGUCUGUGAUAGUUGAAAAGGUGUAUAGGUCUUGUCUUGUGACUUUUGUGGGGAGAAAUACUCAUGUAGACUUGAUUAUCUUAGAAAUGGUUGAUUUUGAUGUAAUUCUGGGUAUGACUUGGAUUUCUCCAAAUUUUGCAUUCUUAAAUUGUAAUGCUAAAACUGUAACGUUAGCCAAGCCUGGGACAGAUCCGUUAGUGUGGGAGGGUGACUACACUUCCACUCUAGUUCGUAUCAUCUCCUUUCUUCGUGCUAAGAGAAUGGUUAGUAAAGGGUGUUUAGCUUUCUUGGCACACCUCAGGGAUGAUACUACCCAAGUACCUUCAAUUGAGGCGGUUUCGUUAGUCCGUGAGUUUCUAGAUAUGUUUCCUGUAGACCUUCCUGGUAUGUCACCUGAUAGGGAUAUUGACUUUUGCAUUGAUCUGGAGCCGGGUACUCGCCCCAUUUCCAUACCCCCUUAUAGAAUGGCUCCCGCUGAGUUAAGGGAGUUAAAGGCCCAACUUCAAGAGUUGUUAGGCAAAGGCUUCAUUAGACCAAGUUCUUCCCCUUGGGGUGCUCCUGUUUUGUUUGUGAAGAAGAAGGAUGGAAUUUUUCGGAUGUGAAUAGACUAUAGACAACUGAAUAAGGUAACUAUUAAGAACAAGUAUCCUCUUUCUCGCAUCGAUGAUUUGUUCGAUCAGUUACAAGGUGCUUGUACCUUCUCAAAAAUCGAUUUGAGAUCUGGUUAUCAUCAGUUGAAAAUACGGGCAACGGAUGUGCCAAAGACUGCUUUUCGGACCAGGUAUGGACAUUAUGAGUUCUUAGUAAUAUCUUUUGGGCUUACGAAUGCCCCUGCUGCUUAAAUGAGUUUGAUGAACGGGAUUUUUAAGACAUAUCUGGAUCUCUUCGUCAUCGUAUUCAUUGAUGAUAUACUGGUAUACUCAAAGAUCAAGAAAGAACAUGAGGAACACUUGAGAAUUGUAUUGGAAAUGUUGAGGGAGAAAAAGCUUUAUGCCAAAUUCUCUAAGUGUGAGUUUUGGCUAGAUUCAGUAUCCUUCUUGGGGCCUGUGGUUUCUAAGGAUGGAGUGAUGGUGGAUCCUUCUAAGAUCGAAGCAGUGAAGAGUUGGGUAAGACCUACUAAUGUUACAGAGGUAAGGAGCUUCGUUGGUUUAGCUAGCUACUACCGUCGAUUUGUCAAGAGAUUUUCUUCUGUUGCAUCCCAAUUGACAAAUUUGACUAAGCAGAGUGUUCCAUUUGUAUGGUCGGAGGAGUGUGAAGAAAGCUUUCAGAAACUCAAGACCUUGUUGACUACCGCACCAAUUCUUACCCUGCCAGUGGAAGGUAAGAAUUUCAUUGUUUAUUGUGAUGCAUCUUAUUCCGGUUUGGGUGCAGUGCUAAUGCAAGAGAAGAAUGUAAUUGGUUAUGCUUCGAGGCAAUUAAAGGUGCACGAACGUAAUUAUCUGACCCAUGAUUUGGAGUUGGCUGCAGUAGUGUUUGUAUUAAAGCAAUAGAUACAUUAUCUAUAUGGGGUUAAGUGUGAAGUCUAUACGGAUCAUCGCAGUUUACAGUAUGUCUUUACUCAGAAAUAUUUGAAUUUGAGACAGAGGAGGUGGAUGGAACUACUGAAGGACUAUGAUAUCACUAUCUUGUAUCAUCCGAGAAAAGCUAAUGUUGUGGCGGAUGCUUUAAGUAGAAAGGCAGGAAGCAUGGGAAGUCUAGCUCACUUGCAGGUUUCUAGACGCCCAUUGGCUAGAGAGGUUCAGACUCUGGCUAAUGACUUUAUGAGGUUGGAAGUACUAGAGAAGGGAGGAUUUUUGGCCUGUGUGGAGGCAAGAUCUUCCUUUCUUGACAAGAUUAAGGGGAAACAGUUUACUGAUGAGAAACUGAUCCGGAUUCGAGAUAAGGUAUUGCUAGGAGAGGCUAAAGAAGCAAAAAUCGAUGAGGAAGGUUUUUUGAGAAUUAAGGGAAGGGUAUGUGUACCCCGCGUCGAUAAUUUGAUUCACACUAUUCUUGCAGAGGCUCAUAGUUCAAGGUAUUCUAUACAUCCUGGUGCAACCAAGAUGUAUCGUGACCUAAAGCAACAUUUUUGUGGAGUAGGAUGAAGCGUGACAUUGUUGAUUUCGUUGCUCAAUUCCCGAAUUGUCAGCAGGUAAAGUAUGAACACCAGAGGCCUGGAGGGACACUUCAGAGAAUGCCCAUUCCUGAAUGGAAGUGGGAGAGAAUUUCAAUGGAAUUCGUGGUUGGUCUUCCAAAGACAAUGGGUAAGUAUGACUCUAUUUGGGUGAUUGUUGACAGGUUAACUAAGUCUGCUCACUUCAUUCCGGUUAAGGUGACUUAAAAUGCAGAGAAGUUAGCCAAACUUUAUAUCUCAGAAAUUGUUCGAUUGCAUGGAGUUCCACUCUCCAUCAUAUCAGAUAGAGGUACGCAGUUUACUUCUAAGUUUAGGAAAACAUUGCAUGCUGAAUUAGGUACUAGGUUGGAUCUUAGUACUGCAUUUCACCAUCAGACUGAUGGUCAGCCUGAGCGAACGAUUCAGGUUUCGGAGGAUAUGCUUCGUGCACGUGUGAUAGAGUUUGGUUGCCAUUGGGAUAACUUCUUACCCUUAGCAGAUUUCUCAUACAACAAUAUCUAUCACUCAAGUAUUGAUAUGGCCCCAUUUGAGGCACUGUAUGGGAGAAGAUGUAGGUCUCCCAUUGGAUGGUUUGAUGCAUUUGAGGUUAGACCUUGGGGUACUGACCUUCUGAGGGAAUCGUUAGAUAAAGUGAAAUGCAUUCAGGAAAAGCUUCUAGCGGCUCAAAGUAGGCAGAAUGAAUAUGCAGAUCGAAAGGUUAGAGACUUGGAGUUUAUGGAGGAUGAACAAGUCUUGAUGAAGGUUUCACCCAUGAAAGAGGUGAUGCGGUUCAGUAAGCGGGGUAAGCUUAGUCCGAGGUACAUUGGUCCAUUUGAAGUUCUGAAGCGCGUGGGGGAGGUAGCUUAUGAAUUAGCCUUGCCCUAAGGACUCUCAGGAGUGCACCCGGUAUUUCAUGUGUCUAUGCUGAAAAGAUACCAUGGGGUUGGAAACUACAUCAUUCGUUGGGAUUCUGUUCUUCUUGAUGAGAAUUUGUCUUAUGAGGAGGAGCCUGUUGCCAUUUUAGAUAGAGAAGUGCGCAAGUUGAGAUCAAGGGAGAUUGCAUCCAUCAAGGUUCAAUGGAAGAAUUGGCCAGUUGAAGAGUCCACUUGGGAGAAGGAGGCUGAUAUGCAAGAGAGAUAUCCACACCUUUUUACAGAUUCAGGUACUCUUUUUCGUUCUUAUUUUCCUUCUUGUGAUCGUUCGAGGACGAACGAUGGGUAAAUUGGUAUCUAUUGUAACGACCUGUUUAGUCGUUCGAGUAGUAGAGUUUAUUUUUGGUAAUAGCUGUCUGGGUCAACGGAUCCCACGACGGACCGUCAUGGGUACGACGGACCAUCGAGGGGGUCUCGUUCCAAAACACUUAGACCUUGGAAAUUUGGGUACUGAGAUCGACUCUCUGAACUUCACGAUGGAAUGGCAGGACGGACCGUUGUUUGCACGACGGACCGUCACAAACUCUUUAAGGAAGUCGAAUCUCUGAACUUUGUGACGGAAACAGCAGGACGGACCGUUGCAGGCACGACGGGCCGUCACGAGCUGCGUAACCCUGACUGGGUCGGAUUUCUGUUAAAAGUUUUUAAGGGGCGUUUUGGACUAUUUAUGACAAACUGUAUGGAAUUAGGGGAUAAGUUUAAUAACUUAUUUACUUGGAGGUUAAAGGAGAUAACCUUGAAAUAAAUAGUGGGUUACUUUUAUCAUCUUUUAUACUUAAUUAUAUGGUAAUUAGGGUAAAACAAAGGGAAUUGGAAAGAGGAGAAAAUUAAAAAGAAAGAAGAGAGAAACGAGCGAGGGAAAGAGAAGAACGCAGAGGAAAGCAAAGGUUUUGGGGGAUAGCUUGCUUGAUCACGAUCCUUCGGUGGAGGUAGGUUAUGGUUUAUGCUAGUAAACCCUUAAUAGCGAAUGAUAUGUAUUGGGUAGUAUUGUAAAGUCUUCUAUAUGCUUAAUUGUGUGCUUGCAUGAUGUGAUUAUGUAAUUGUAAUGGAUUGGAAAGAUGAGGCUAUGAAUCUUAAACCUUAAAUCCACUUUGUUAAUGAUGAUGCCUUGGUAUAAAAGAAGGCUUGAUGAAUAUAAAAAAUGAGAUUAGGGGAUCGGGUGUCACGUACCGACACGUAGAAUUAGGGGAUCGGAGUGUCACGUACCGACACCAGGAAUUAAGGGAUCGGGUGUCACGAACCGACACGUAGUAGUAGGGAAUCGGAGUGUCACGUUCCGACACCAGGAUAUUAAAGAGAAUGAAUCUUUAGGGGAUCGGAGUGUCACCUUCCGAUACCAGGAUGAUAAAGAGAAUGAAUCUUGAAUUAUGUUAAUAUACUCAAAUUUAAAGAACCUAUUUGCCCAAACGAGUAUGGUGUGGAGGCUUGAGUCCUCAUAGAUGUGCUUGGGUUGUGUCAAAAGGUUAUGGUACUUGUUGUUAUCAACAGUUUAGUAUGGUAGUCAAUUUUAUGUUAUUAUCUGAUAUAUAUUGCUUUCUAUUUUGAGUUGGCCGAUGAUACCUACUCAGUACUUCUGCCUUGUACUGACCCCUACGUGUAAUUUUCUUCUUUGUUAUUUGUGGAGUGCAGCAAACGUGCCAGCGUCUUCAACUCGUCCUCAACUCUAGCCAGUCUUCAUACGUCAGAUUUCAGGGUGAGCUAUUGUUCCUAGCUCGGACUUGAUUCUCUCUCAUUCAUGUCUUGAUGUCCUUGAAGUUCAUACAUGGACCAUUUGUUUACUUAUUUUAGCUUCCUAGAUACUCUUAGAUUAGUAAUUUAAGGAUAGAAUGUUCUUGUGGUGAUGACUUCCAGAUUUUAGAAAUAAUAAGUAUUAAAUUUUAGAAGUUAUUUAUUGAUUUCAUUAACGAGUUUUAAGCUUUCCGCAUUAUAUUCUGUUUAUUAUGGUUGAAAUGUUGGGGUUUAGAUUGGUUAGUUCGUUCACAUAGGAGGGUAAGUGUGGGUGCCACUCACGGCUCGUUUUGGGUCGUGACAAGACAUUUUAAAGCACACCCGCUAAUAACAACACAUAUUAUUACAAGACUUUGAGACAAUAGCUUAAAUCCAAGCAUUUGGUAUACAUUGUUUCAACUAUUCAAAAAUGUUAUCGUAUUCAUAUCGAUUUCUUCAAAAUAUAUUAUUUUAAAGAAUUCGACAUAUACUUGUCGACAUUUUCAAAGAGUCCUUGUGUAUAAUAUUUAUGUAUUACUUGAUGUGGUAAUUCUCAAUAUCUUUGGUUACAUUCAGGAGUAAUUCCAUGAAUGUGUGUGGAUCUGGCACAUGAGCAUUUUUCUUUUCAUAUUCUAUGAUCAAAGUAACUAAAUUAUUUUCACCCUUUGUCUCAACAUGAACAGUGAUGUAAAAUGAUUUGUAAUACUCCAAUAUAUCUCCUUCAAUUAUCUUUUUUUAAUUCUUUUCUUCAUCUAUUUCUUCCACUUUCUCCUUUGCCACCACUUCUUUUCCAUUGGUAAAACAAAUUAAAUAUAGUAAAUAUUUCAUACUAUUAAUUUCACUUUUAAAUGAUCGAGUGAGUUUGUUUGAAUUUGAACGGAUUAAAAAUGGAUUGAGUCAAUAAAUAAUAAAUAAUAGAGAUAAUAUUAUUAUAUUAUUCUUUGACUUUAUUACAUUUUUGUUUUAAAAAAUGUGUUAGAUGAUAAAUAAUAUUUAAAACCAAAGGUAAAUAAUCUCUUAAUUUUCUAAAUUGGACAAGUUUUGUUAGACAUCUAUUUUUCGUAUACUCCACAACUAUUGUUAGAUAGAGGAAGUAUUUGUUAAUCACGCCUUGAAUUUUUUCUCUUAUAUAUUUUACGAAACUCAUAAUCUCUAUUAAUUUUAGAGAUUUGUUGUCCUAAUAGAUUUGGGAAAAGGAAUCUAUUUUUUCCUUAUAGGAAUAAUGGAAAGAACAUUUUCCUUGUGGAAGACUCUCUGUUUUUUCUUGAAUGAUUAGACCUAGAUGAAUCUUGUUAAAUCCUUGUGUUAUUUUUCUUCUCUAUUUUUUUUAUUUGUAAUUAUGUGCUAAUUAAUCCACGAUAUUUCUGACACAAUAUUGAUAUUAUAUAUAUAUUGAAGAAUGUAUGAACCAAACAUUUUGUGAUAAAUAUUGAAAUCAAAUAAAAUAAAGGUUUACCAUGGAUGAAGUUCCAAAAGAUAACUGAGUCAACUGUGCCCCAUUCACCUUCAUGAACAUCCACAUUUUGUAUGUUAUUAGGGGACAUGGUGGAGAUAUGGUGGGCCUGUGCCUAUAUACUUCAUAAAAAAUAUCUCCAUCACACUUAAUUUCUAUCUCAGAAACUAACUUUCCAUGGAGGCUCAUUUUUCUUCUAUGAUAUGAUAUAUCACAAAGUUAUAAUAAAAAAGUGUGUGGUUCAAUCAUUACAUGAGAUACUAUUCCUUUUAUAGUUACGCAAUGCCAAUAGUUUUAACCUCUAGAUUAUAAUACAUUUUUUUACUUUUUCUGCCUAUACAUAAUUAGGCGUGUCUAUGUAUAUACACAUAAUUAUUUUGUUCAUGAGAAUUUUUUAAGAUUGUCAUACAUUUAUUAAAUACCAAAAGUGUUUUUAAGUCAAAGUCAUAAGUUUGGUCAUCUUUAAUUGUAUGAUGAUCAUAAUACCUCAUAAAUUAUGUCUCGCGUUGUUAAAGAGCUUAAGUCAUAAAAUAGUGUUAUGCUUGUAGUAAAUAAACAUGAGUAAGUUUACUAUAAAUGAUCAGUAGCUUGGUGAUAAAUAGUGUUAUGUUUGACUUGAGUGACCCGAGUUCGAAACUCACAUCUAAUAAGUAUUUUCUUUCAAUUAAAAUAGACCAAUUUAUCCAAAUUGAAUCACAAUAUUAUUAGGGGGCGAUUAUCUCAUAAGAAUAACUAUGCAAUGAUUAUAUUUGCUUAUAUAUGUUGAGAUUAUAUUAGCUUAUAUCACAAUAUUAUUAGUAAUAAUUAUAUUAGCUUAUAUAUGUUGUGAAUGUUAUUAAAUAAUAUUAGUAAUGCAUGAAUUAUUUUUUUCUCAUAUAUCCAACCAAACACUAUACAAUCUCUUGGGAAAAAUUUUAUAUUAGAGAUCAAUUAUAGACAUGUUUUGUAAUAGAAUUGGAGAGGAGACCUUGUCCAUGCCGGUGCUAAUACUACAUAUCCCUAUCACUACUAAUGCUAGAUUGCCUAUUGUGUGAGCUAUUAUCUAAUGCUCUGACUAUAUAAACUCAUUCAUUAAUUAAUCGGAAAAAGGUCUGAAAAAUAUUUCAAUUUUGGACAAAAUUAUUGUUACAAUAUCAAACUUAAUAGAGGAUUUUUUACCAAUACAUUAUUUAAUAGUGUAUUUUAAAUGUAUAUAUGUACGUACAUGGACAUAUUACUAUUUAUAAUUAUGUAAUAUUUAUUAUAUCUAUGUGGACACAUAUAUACCUUUUAAAUACAUUAUUAAAUAGUGCAGAAGGAAAAAAGAUCAUUUCCAAAGUUUACUAUGUUACAACAAUUUUAUCAAAAUUUGAAUAUAUUUCAAACAAUUUCUUCUUAAUUAAUUAUAAGUGUGUAUCUCUACUCUCUUAUAGUUAAGUAAAAAUGUCAAUAUGUCUAGACUCUAGACUAUAAAUUUCAUAUUUUCUUUGCCUAUACAUAAUUAGGUGUGUGCAUUGUACUUACACACAAUUAUUAUCCAAUAAGCGAUUUUUAUAUUAAGAAAAGGUAGUAGGUAAAGUUUCUAAGUGGUUCAAGCUAGUUCAUAAGCAUUUUUUUAAGCUUAUCAUAUAGUUGACAAAUACGAAAAGUGCUUAUAAUCCGAAAUCAACCAUAUAUGUAUUAGAAGGAGCUUUUAUAUAUGUUUAUUUAUCAAUAUCCACUCCCUUUAUUUUUUCUACAUAUAUAUUAGACAUUUCAAAGCAAAUUCUUUAACCACACCACAUAAUAUUACUUCAAGUACAUACAUAUAUGUAUUUAUGUAUCACUUGAUGUGGUAACUCUCAAUAUCUUUAGUGAUAUUGAUACAUAAUUCCAUGAAAGUCUGUGGAUCAGGCACAUGCACAUUCUUCUUUUAAUAUUCCAAAAUCUAACUAAGUUGUUUUCUUCCUUUGUCUCAACAUGAAUAGUGAGGUAAAAUGAUUCAUAAUACUCUAACAUAUCUCCUUCAAUCAUCUUUUUUUAACCAACUUCUUUUCUUCAUCUAUUUCUUCAAUAACUUCCUUUGCCACCAUCUCUUUCCCAUCUACACAAAAAAAAUAUAGUAAAAAAAAUCCAUACUACUAAUUUCGUUUAUUAAUGAUUGAGUGAGUUAAAUUGAAUGUGGACAAAUUAAAAUCGAUAUGAAUUAAUAUAAUAUGGAUUUACGUACCAUGUGUGAAUUUUCAAAACCUAACAGAGCCAAUAGUACCCAAAUCACCUUCAUGAAUAUCCACAUUUUGUAUCUUAUCAAGGCAUAUGUUGCACAUAUAAUGUGGUUUGUACAUAAUUAUUUCAUGGAACACAUCUCCAUCACAUUUGAUAUUUAUCUCAGAAACCAAUUUACCUUCAAGACUCAUUUUUUCUAUGAUAUAUGACUAAGUUAUAAUAACUAAUAUGUGCUUCAGCAUUACAUUAAUAGUUCUGCCCUUUUAUAGUUAGGCAAUGUCAAUAUGUCAAGGUUUUAGAUUAUAAAUUUCAUUUUUUUCCAUAUACAUAAUUAGGUGUGUGCAUGUAAUUAACUACACACAAUUAUUACAGAAUGAGAGUCUUUGGUUAUAUCUAGUACCCAAUAUGCUACUUUUAUAUUAAGUAGGUUAAAUUUCUAAGUGGUUCAAACUAGUUCAUAAGCCUAUUUUAAAAGCUUAAAUAUAUAAUUGGCAAACACUUAUAACUCAAGUGCUUAUAAUCCGAUAUCAACCAUAAGUUGUUUAUUUUUAUUUAUGAUAUUAUAAGAACUUUUUAUUUGACGAAUCGCUUUACAAUUUUACCUUUUCUAUCUUUGUACUCCCUAAAAUGUUCUUUUUAAAACAUGGCAUCAUACGUGCAGUAUGCUAUGUAGGACACAAAAUUUUCAUGUAGGGUGCUAUGUAGGACGAAUAUGUCAAUUUGUUCAAUUUUAUACAAGUUUAAUUGUUUAAUUGUGCACAUCAAAAGUUAAGGGUCAGAGUUGCCAACUGUUGGGUUUAGCAAGUGUGAAUGAGAAAAGAAAAGAGAGAAUAUGAAAAGUGAGGGAACUAUUUUGGAGUAAAAAUGAAAAGUCAUUUCUCUCAUAUCACCAAAAGAAAGGGAAAUUGUUGUCCUUAUAUAAGGAAACACUUCCAUUACUUCUUAAAGAGCUAAGAAGAAGAUGCCCCUCGCACCGGCGUCGGCGCUCGCUCGGCUUCGGCAAAUGAUUUGACUGAUUGAUAAAUUUUUUGAACAAAAUUUAUUUAAUCAUUUUUUCUUAAAUCAAAUAAAUCUUGUAAAUUAUCUCUUAAAAUAACAAGUAAAAAGAUGAGUUGUAGUGAUUAUUACCCAUUAUAUCGAAAGGUGAUAAAUGCUUCAAGACUAGUAAUUUAUGUUUUGGUUGACUAUGCUAAUAUACUCUAUGUUUCACUUCAGACAAGUUUUUAUAUAGAUGUGUGGUUGUGGAAAUUAAAAAUUGGAGAAUCAAGCUUUGGUUGUGAUUGGUAGGGAAAAUUGAGUUAGUUCAUCUUCUCAACAAUAGCUUCAUAAAUUUAAUAUGACAAAACCUUUUCUUGUGUAACACAUAAUUUAUGUAGAUAUAUUCCUAUAAGUCAACACACAAGGUCUCCCGUGUAGGUAAUCUACAGAGAACAUAUAUACUUUUCUUCAAAAUUUAAGUUAUAAUAAUCCGACCUUGAAAUCAUCACCAUUAUCGAACACCCAUAACACAAUCAGAACAUGUACUAUGCAAAAAGAUCAUUUAUAGUCUAUAGUUUCUGUCCACUACAGCCACCCACCAUGUAGUAAAAGUAUCCGUUGUGAAUCAAAUCGAUUUAGUAAAGGCUUAUGUGUUAUAAGUUGUGAAUUAAACUGAUUUAGAUUGAAAUAUUGGGUUGAAUAAAUAUUAGAGAAUUUUAUUUGGAAUUCAAGCCCAAUAUUAUCAAUUGAUUAAAUAUGACUAGGUAGUUGUUAACAUAAGAGUUAUGUGUAUAGUGAAGAAACUAUAUGUUCCUCUCAUCUUUUUUCUAGAGUUGAAACUUCUCAGCUCCAAUCUUAUCUCUAUCUUUAGUUACUUUUCCUUGUAAUACAAGAAUUUAGGUGUUGUUAUUAUAAUUUAACUAUCAAUACUCAUAUUAGUGUUUUAACAUUUGUGUUGAAAAUUCUGGUUUGUUUAAGCAAAUAUAUGAACUCAAAACAUAUCCGUAAAGAUUCUUCGCAUCUUUAAUUAAGAUUACAAGAUUAAAAUAUAUUUUGCUAUUUUUUUCAUAUCUUUAGUUAAGAUCACAAUUAUUAUAACAAGAACAACUUUUAGUAGCAAUAAACAUAUACAUAUUAAUAAAGAGUGUUAAAGAUUUUACCGGCAUUAGUCAAAUAUCAUUAAAUUCAAUAUUGUUAAAGGAUUUAGAGACAUAUAAAAAGAAUUUUAUAUACCAUAUCAAAUCAAAACCAGAUAAACAAAUUGAAAUCGAGUCUUAGAGUACAAAUUAAGAUGUGUAUAAUGUCACUAGUAAGACAAGUACAUUAGUGAACUGAAAAAAGAACAAUUACAUAAACAAUUCUUAUACAUAAAUAUCACAUAAAUAAUCUUUCCAAAAGGAAAGCUUCAAAUACAUAUAUGAUCACACAAUAUACAAUACAUUUUUAACAAGCCUUGUGCUCAAGGCUUUUUAGGCACUUGAGGCAUUUCCGGCUUUGACAAAGUUGGCAAUUCAAGCUUAGGAAUGACAGGAAUCUCGAGUUUUGGUAAAGUUGGAAGUUCAACCUUUGAAAAUGGUGGAAACUCCGGCUUUGGAAUUUCUGGAAAUUCGGGCUUUGGUAAUGUAGGCAACUCAGGUUUCGAAAUUUAAGGGAACUCAAGUUUAGGCAAAGUUGGGAUUUCAGGUAAAUGUGGCAAUUCUGGCUUAGGAAGCUCAGGGAUAGUUACUUCAAGAAGAUUGCGCGCUUCAACUUGAAUCACAUAACUACUUGUUAAAAACAAUGUGACGAAUAAUAACUAGAAAAAAGAUGGAAUAUACUUAUAAGCCAUUGUAUAAAGCCAGGUGAUAAAUUCUUCAAGACUUAUAAUUUAUGUUUUUGUUGAUUAUGCAUUAAUUAUACUUCACCUCAAACAAGUUUAUAUAGUGAAAGUAAAAAUAGGAGAAUUCGUUUUUGGUUGUGGUUUGGUAUGAAAAAAUACUACGUUAGUUCAUCUUCUCAACAAUAACCUCCUAAUUAAUCUAACAUGUAUAAUUACCUAAUUAAUCAACAUUAUGUUUUUUUAGGUAAUUGUAUGUUUAAUAAACAUCCCUACAUAUAUAUUCUCGUUCAACUUUGUUUGUCUUUUAAAAGUCACUUAACUUAGCCAAGUUAGCUUUCAUAGUCAUGAUUACCCAAAAUAUUAUAUUUGGUAUUCAUUUAAUGACGUGACAACUGUAAAUUUUUACAAAAAAAUAUUUUAAAUUAGAUAUUAUGUUGCAUAUUGAAAUAUCACACUCUAGAGUCGAUAAGAGAUUUCAAUGCAAAUGAAUACACUACAAAAUUCUAGAUGACUCGUGAUCGCUAAAUUGCAAGUAAGUAACUUUUUUUAAUAAUUCAUAUUAGAUAGAAUUAGCGAUGAGUUUUGCUAUUUAGCUAAAUAAUAUAUUUGUCCAUCAAUAGUUUUCCAUUUUUGGUAGUGAUAGUGAACUACAAAAUUAGCUGACAUAAAAGUUGUUGAGUUUAGAAAGUAUGAAUGGGAAAAGAAAAGAGAGAAUAUGAAAAGUGAGGGAACUAUUUUGAAGGGAAAAAUGAAAAGACAUUUGCAAAGUGCAAAUGAAAAGUCAUUUCUCCCAUAUCGACAAAAGAAAGGGAUAUUGUUGUCCUUAUAUAGGGAAACACUUCCAUUACUUCUUAAAGAGCUAAUAAGAAGAUGCCCCCUCGCGCCGCCGCCGUCGUCGCUCGGCUUCGGCUUCGGAUUUGGUAAAUGAUUUGAUUGAUAAAUUUUUUGGACAAAAUUUAUCUAAUCAGUUUUUGUUAAAUCAAAUAAAUUCUCUUAUAAAUUUGCGGGUAACUGUAACAUUUCAAAAAAUUGUUACUCUUUUUGAAAAGUCGUUACUUUCCGAAAAGACGUUAUUUUCCUAACAGACACAUUUUUCUGAAAAUUUGUUAUUUUUUCCAAAAUACACAACUUUCUGGAUAAAAGGGGUCUGAACAGAUUUCUCUGAACAGACAUGUUUCUUGCUGAAAAUGACUAUAAAAGGAAGUGAAUUUUUGUUUUUUUCAAACAAAAAAUUUUUUCCUGCUCUGCAUAAAUUUUUUCUCUCAAACAAAUCAAAGUGUCGAUCGACUGAGUCUGUGUAACUUGUUCUUGUUUUGAAGUUCGUUGAAGUUAAAGAAAUUUGAGGUACCGCUAUUUCUUCAACAGGAUUAAUCCGUUUUAUCUUGAAAGAAAUUAAUCCAUAACCUCGGAUACAGUGAGGGGAUUAAAUUUCUUAAGGACACACAGUAGUUUCUGUGGACUCGGAUUACGUCUUGUUUUCUAUUUACUUUUUGUUUCAUCUUAUUCUGUUUCUGUCUUUUUUAGGCUAACCUUAUAAUACAGGUUGAAUAACAAUCUUAAGAAAUUUAAUAAGUUUCUGUAUUUGAGGUUUUUGGAGAUCAAAACCUUUAUGGUUUUCUACUCUGCUUGAAUUUUUAAAAUUCAUUCAGUUAACGAUUAAAAAAAUAUAAAAACUUUAACGUUAAAUCAGAAACAGUUUGUGUAAAGAUUUGUUCUUUACUAUUAGUAUUUCAAAUACUUAAAUUAUCUGUCAUUUGUGACAGAAAAAAGAAAAAUGACUAAUUUAAGUCAAGCAAAUGCUGGAACAGUAAGUGCUGCAAUAGUAAGUGUUGCAACAACAUCGGUUGCACAUAAUCGUUCAAAUGCUUCCUUAGCACCGUAUGAGAAACCUACAAAGUUUUCUGGAGUUGACUUUAAGAGAUGGCAGCAGAAGAUGUUCUUCUAUCUCACUACGUUGAGUCUGCAGAAGUUCAUUAAUAAGAAUGAUCCUGUUAUGUCAGAUGAAACUCCGCCUGAUGAACGAUUCUUGGUAACAGAAGCAUGGACACACUCAGAUUUUUUGGGUAAAAAUUAUAUUCUGAGUGGCAUGCAAGAUGAUCUGUACAAUGUGUACAGCAAUGUCAAAACCUCAAAAGAACUCCGGGAUGCUUUAGAAAAGAAUUACAAAACAGAAGAUGUCAAAAUGAAGAAAUUCAUUGUGGCAAAAUUUCUGGACUAUAAGAUGAUAGACAGUAAGACAGUCAUCACCCAAGUUCAAGAACUAUAGGUCAUAAUCCAUGAUCUUCUUGCUGAAGGUAUAAAUUAAUUUAAUGCCUAUGUUAGAAAUAUUAAGUUUUUUCUUAUACACAUAAUCUUUAAUGUAGGAUUGAUUGUGAAUGAUGCAUUUCAAGUUGCUGCAAUUAUUGAAAAGUUACCUUCGUUGUGGAAGGAUUUCAAAAACUACUUAAAACAUAAACGCAAGGAGAUGACUAUUGAAGAUCUCAUAGUAAGGUUGAGAAUCGAAGAGGAUAAUAAGGCUGCAGAAAAGAGGUCACGUGGUAAUUCAGCAAUAUCUGGAGUAAAUUUUGUUGAAGAAGAUCCCACAAAAUAAAAGAAAAGAAAGAAAGCAUCUGGUCCAAAAAGCAAUCCUCCUAAGAAGAAAUUCAAUGGAAACUGCUUCAAUUGUGGUAAACAUGGUCAUAGGGCUACUGAAUGUCGGGGUCCUAAGAAGGACAAGAAAAAAAAGGAUCAAGCAAACUUGGCUAAAUCCAAAGGAGAAAUGGAAGAUCUCUGUGCAAUGCUUUCAGAAUGUAACUUGGUUGGAAAUCCAAGAGAAUGGUGAAUAGAUUCUGGUGCCUCAUGUCAUGUUUGUUCCAACAAAGAAUUAUUUUCAUCAUAUACUCCAACACCUACAGAUGAGAAGUUGUUUAUGGAAAACUCCGUUAUUGCAAAGGUGGAAGGAACUGACAAAGUCCUAUUAAAGAUGACAUCAUGCAAGGUGGUGACUUUGAAUAGGGUCUCAUAUGUUCCAGAAUUGAGAAAGAAUUAAGUUUCAAUUUCAGUUCUUACCAAGAAUGGAUUCAAAUGUGUAUUUGUUUAUAAUAAAGUAGUAGUAAGCAAGAAAGAUAUGUAUGUAGGAAAAGGCUACCUUAGUGAUGGCCUUUUCAAACUCAAUGGAAUUGCAUUUGAUAUGAAUAAAGAUUUUGCUUCUUCUUAGUUGCAUGAGUCUAAAUGUUUAUGGCAUGAACGUUUGGGACACGUUAAUAACAAAACCUUGCAAAAACAGAAUAUUUUUCCAAAAUUUGAGUGCAAUAAAUUAAAAUGUCAAAUUUGCGUUGAAUAUAAGUAUGUUAAGCAUCCUUAUAAAUUUUUUGAAAGGAAUUCAAAUCCUUUAGAAUUGAUUCACACUGAUAUUUAUGACAUGAAGUCAACACCAUCACGUGGUGGGAAAAAGUAUUUCAUAACUUUUAUUGACGAUUGCACUAGAUAUUGUUAUGUCUAUUUGCUAAAUGGUAAGGAUGAAACAAUAGAUGCAUUUAGGCAAUAUAAAACUGAAGUUGAAAAUCAGUUAGAUAAAAACAUCACAAUAAUCAAAAUUGAUAGAGGUGAAGAAUAUGAAUCUCCAUUUGCAUAAAUAUGUUUAGAAAAUUGAAUAAUCCAUCAAACUACUGCUCCCUACACUCCUCAGUCUAAUGGAAUUGCAUAAAGGAAAAAUCGAACUUUAAAAGAAAUGAUGAAUGGAUUACUUAUAAGUUCAGGUUUACCACAGAAAUUGUGGGGGAAAGCUAUCCUUACAGCAAAUCAAAUACUUAACAGAGUGCCUCAUUCAAAGACAAAUGUAAUUUCCAUAUGAGAAAUGGAAAGGUAGAAAAUCCAACUUGAAAUAUUUCAAAGUGUGGGAGUGUCUAGCCAAAGUCCAAGUUCUCCUACCUAAUACGGUAAAAAUAGGGCCUAAGACUGUGAAUUGUGUAUUGAUUGGAUAUGCGACAAACAGUAAGGCAUGUCGAUUUUUGGUUCAUAAGUCUGAACAUUCAGAUAUUCAUGAUAAUACAGUAAUGGGAUCAGAUAGUGCUGAAUUUUUUGAAUAUAUAUAUCCGUAUAAAAAUAGACUUGAGUCAUCUAGUGGAGGGUCUAAACAACCAAGAGAAGAACCAAAAGAGAAUGAACCCAAUGAAGAAAGUCCAAGAUGUAGUAAAUGUCAAAGGACAUCUACUUCAUUUGGGUCUGAUUUUGUAACAUUUCUUCUUGAAAGCGAGCCUCAAACAUUCAAGGAAGCAAUGUUGUCUAGCGACUAAACCUCUUGGAAGAAGGCUUUUAAUAGUGAAAUUGAAUCAAUCUUAAACAAUCAUACUAGGGAGUUAGUUGAUCUUCCUCCAGGGAACAAACCUUUGGGUUCAAAAUAGAUCUUUAAUAAGAAGAUGAAAGAUGAUGGAAGUAUUGACAAAUAUAAAGCAAGACUUGUUGUGAAAGGUUUUAGACAAAAAGAAUGUCUUGAUUAUUUUGACAUACUCGCCAGUGACUAGGAUUACAUAAAUUCGGAUGUUAAUUGCACUAGCUGCAGUAUAAGGUCUUGAAAUUCAUCAAAUGGAUGUGAAAACAACCUUCUUAAAUGGAGAGCUGGAAGAAAAAAUUUACAUAGAACAGCAUGAGGGUUUUGUAGUUCCUGGUAAAGAAAAGAAAGUGUGCAAACUUAUUAAGUCACUUUAUGGACUAAAACAAGAAUCAAAACAAUGACAUGCAAAGUUUGAUCAAACCAUGUUGUCAUAUGGAUUUAAGAUCAAUGAAUGUGAUAAACGUGUUUACACUACAGAUACUCCAAAUCAGGAAGUCAUUGUAUGCCUAUAUGUAGAUGACAUGUUUAUAAUGAGCAAAGACAUUGCUAAUAUAAAAUCUACAAAGCGUAUGCUCGCUAGUAAGUUUGAUAUGAAAGAUUUAGGAGUUACUGAUGUGAUAUUAGGAAUUAAAAUUCUUAAAACUCCUAACGGUCUAGAAUUAUCUCAAACUCAUUAUAUUCAAAAGAUACUUCGAAAAAUUCAAAUUUUUGAAUUUUAAAAGGGCAAAGACUCCAAUUGAUGUAAACAUUCAUCUAGCAAAGAAUAAAGGUGAAAGUCAGUCUCAAUUGGACUAUGCUAGCAUAUUGGGAAGCUUAAUGUAUGUCAUGAAUUAUACACGACCAGACAUAGCUUGCGCUAUCAGUAAACUAAGUCGAUACACAAGUAAUCUUAAUCAAAGUCAUUGGUUGGCAAUGAAGAGAGUUUUGGGAUACUUAGAUGACACUCAAAACUAUGCUUUACAUUACAACAAAUAUCCAUCCGUUCUUGAAGGAUAUAGUGAUGCAAAUUGGAUUACAGGGUCAACUGAAACAAAAUCCACAAAUGGAUACGUUUUUACUAUUGGUGGAGGAGAAAUAUCUUGGAAAUCAUCAAAACAAACAUGUAUAGCUCGCUCUACAAUGGAGUCUGAAUUCAUUGGUUUAGACAAGGCAGGUGAAGAAGCUGAAUGGCUCCGGAAUUUCUUAGAAGACAUUUCAUUUUGGCCCAAACCAAUGGCCCCUAUAUGCAUACAUUGUGAUAGUCAAGCCGCAAUAGGAAGGGCUGGAAGCAUUAUGUAGAACGGCAAGUCUUGUCACAUAAGACGAAGAUAUAACUCUAUGAGACAACUACUCUCUAGUGGAAUUAUCACAAUUGACUUUGUGAAGUCAAAAGAUAAUGUGUCGGAUCCACUUACAAAAGGCCUAACUAGAGAGGGAGUUGAGAAAUCAUCGAAGGGAAUGGGACUAUGGCCGAGAACAACUCAUCGUGGUGGUAACUCUACCUAGAAUACUCGAGAUCCCAAUAUCUAGGUUCAUGGAGAUAAAAUAAAGUCAUUGAUGACGGUUCAACAUUGUCAAAAAAUUAUUAUUUUAUGGUGCAUUCUCAUGAUGAGACAAUGUUUGGUAACCACGAUAAAGACAUAAGGACUUUUUAAUAGUUUCUAAGUUUGAUAGAGGGAAUAUCAAAUGGUGUAUCUAUGGGAUAAGACAUUUAGAAAUCACCUAUGUAAGUGAGAAGUGUAAGCCGCUUCAAGGAGAAUCCGGUAAGGCCAGUUCUUUAAGCACUUACUAUCCAAGAUGUGUUCAUGGCUCAAACGAACAAAACAAUGAGAACUAAGAACAGUUCAAGGGUUGAUUGUGUGACAUAUGUUGUCUAGGUAUACACCAAAGCUAAACGGUUCAAAGAUAUCAAAUCUACCGAUUGACCGAGUAUAUCCGAUAUAUAUUUACUACGGAAAGUUUAAAGACAAACCUACUUAUCCAGAUGCAAUUAACCUUUAUCGACAAGACACACAAGUUUUUUCAUGCAUAUGAUUUAACAAUAGCCUUCCCAUUCAUGUGGGGGAUUGUUGGAUUUAGAAAGUGUGAAUGGGAAAAGAAAAGAGAGAAUAUUAAAAGUGAGGGAACUAUUUUUUAGGGAAAAUGAAAAUUCAUUUCUCCCAUAUCGGCAAAAGAAAGGGAAAUUGUUGUCCUUAUAUAAGGAAACACUUCCAUUACUUCUUAAAGUGCUAAGAAGAAGAUGCCCCCUCGCGCCAUCGUCGUCGUCGUUCGCUCUACUCCGGCUUCGGCUUCGUCUUCGAAUUCGGAUGUGAUUGAUUGAUAAAUUUUUUGGACAAAAUUUAUUUAAUCAGUUUUUGUUAAAUCAAAUAAAUCCUGUUAAUAUUAUCUCUUAUAAAUUUGCGAGUAACGGUAACAAUCUGAAAAGUUGUUACUCUAUCCGAAAAGCCGUUAUUUUCCUAACAGACACAUUUUUUCAAAAAGUUGUUUUUUUUUUCAAAAGACACAACUUUCUGGAUAAAAUGGGUCUAAAUAGAUUUCUCUGAACAGACACGUUUUUUGCUGAAAAUGGCUAUAAAAGGAAGUCAAUUUUCGUUUUUUCAAGCACUUAAUUUUUUCCUGCCCUGUAUAAAUUUUUUCUCUCAAACAAAUCAAAGUGUCGAUCGACUGUGUCUGUGUGACUUGUUGUUGUUCUAAAGUUUCUCUAAAGUUAAAGAAAUUUCAGGUAUGGCUAUUUCUUUAACAGGAUUAAUCCGUUUUAUCUUGGGAGAAAUUAAUCCAUAACCUCGGGUACAGUGAGGGGAUUAAAUUUCUUAAGGACACACAGUGGUUUCUGUGGACUCGGAUUACUUCUUGUAUUCUCUGUUUACUUUCUGUUUCAUCUUAUUCUAUUUUUGUCGUUUUAGGCUAACCUUAUAAUACAGGUUUACUAACACCAACUGAUGCUAAGUUAAGAGUCAUGUUUAUGUAUUAUGCCUAUAUUAAAAUUAGAAUGUUACUGAUUAGAAGAUGACCUAACAAACAAUUUUUCCUACCAAUUAUCACAACCAAAACUUAGUUCUAAAUUCCUAUUUUCAACAUACACAUAUCUAUAUAAACUUGUCAAAAGUGAAACUUAUAAGGACAAUCAAUCUUCAACGAUGUCUUACAACCAGAAACAAUAUUUUUUUUUUGUUAUUACAUGUCACUUUGUCAAUAACAAGUUGCUAUGUAAUUCAAGCGGAAGCGCGCCAUUUCUUGAAAUAACUAUUCUUGAGCUUCCUAAGCCUUAAUUGCUUCAACUCCAACAAAUCUCAACUUUACCAAAUCCUAAAUUCACUGAAAUUCCAAAUUUGCUACCAAUUCUCUACCAAAGCCCCGAGUUCCAAAAUUAUCAAAAAUUGAGAUGCCUGUCAUCCCAAGGAUAAACUAUCAACUUUGUCAAAGCCUGAAAUUCUUAAGUGCCUAAAAUGCCUUGAGGGCGCGCGAUGCAUAUAUAUUAAAUGCUCUUUGAUUCAUUUAAAGCAUUCUGGAUACGUUACACUUUAUUAUUGUGUCAUAUGGUCAAAAAAUUUCUUUGUUGGGGCUAGAAAAUUUCAUUUCGGAUAUAUAAUAUUUCUCAUGAUAUUCUAUCAUCAGUAACAAAAAUUGUUAUGUAAUUGUUCUUAAUCAGUUAACUUUUGUAUUUGUUAAAAACUCAUUGUUAAAUAGAUAAUUGUGAAUCCAAUUAUUGUUUAUGUUAAAUUGAUACUCAUAAAUAUUAAAUCCUGAAUCCACCUCAACAAUAAUUAGUUGAAGUGGUACGUCGGUGGCUUAUCAUGAAUGAAGUACUAACAAAUACUAGUAUUUGGGAAUUUUAUUUAUUUACAAAAAAAUAUUUGCUAAAUAGUGACAAAUUAUUUGGACAAACACUACUUGACAAAUGGAAAGUGCUAAACGGCGAGAAAAUUUGGUCAGAUUUUGAUCAGAAAAAUUUAAAAACUAUAAGAUUUUUUUUCUAUUUUAAAAUAAACUAAUUUUUUUUUCAUUUAUUAGUGAAAACGUGUUAAAAUUAAAAGAUAAUUAAAAAUUAUUUAAAAUAUAAAAUAACAUAGAAAAAAUAUCAUUCUGACCAAACUUUAGCCAUAUUUUCUGGCAAAAAAAAUUUGGCCAACUUUUACAAAUUUUACAUGGAAAACCUAUGGCCAAAGGGGUCCAUAAUUAGGUGUGUGCAUGUAAUUCUACACACAAUUAUUACAUAAAGACUCUUGGUUAUAGAAACUACCCAAAUAAGCUACUUUUUUAUAUUAAGAAGGCAUUAGGUUAGUUUUCUAAGUGGUUAGUUUAUAAGUAAAUUUUUAAAGCUUAUCAUAUUGUUGGAAAGCACUCAAGUGUUAUAAGUGCUUAUAAUCAAAAAUCAACCAUAAGUUGGUCAUUUUUAUAUUAUGAUUUUAUAGCUAAUUAUAAUUAAGUACUUUUAAUUUGACUAAUCACUUCAUAAUUUUAUCUUUUCUAUCUUUUUUCAUUAUAUAAUAGGAAAAAAGCUUAUCAAAAUUAUUUUACCAAACACAAAUUAUUUGUUUGUUCUCAAUUUCACCCCUCAACGCGUAACCACUAAUUUAUAAAAGAAAAUGAUGCCUAACCCCCCCCCCCAACCCAACCCAACCAACUGAAGUUUCUAUUGAAGCCCAUAAAAUCGCCACAAAAUCAUUUUAGUAGCGACCUGAGCGUCGUAUGAAGAUUUGAAUAUUUUAAUUGGGAGUUAUAACACCUCUUGUAUUUUCUGAUCUUAAUAAAUAGAUGGAAAAGAAUUGACCAGUCAUCGAUUCUCAGGUGAAAUCAAUCACUUGAAAAGUGAUUGGAGCAAAUUCUUUUAAAGUUAUAUAAUUUCUUCUCAGUUAUUAUAUUCUGUGAAAAUGAAUGGACUAUAUCUGCACUUUUUGUCACGACCCAUAACGGGUCGCGAGUGGCACCCACAUUUAUCCUACUAUGUGAGCGAACCAACCAAUCUAAACCCCAACAUUUCAACCACAAAUAACAUAAUAUCAUGCGGAAGACUUAAACUCAUUAAUGAAAAUCGAUUAAAUAACUUCUAAAAACUCAAUACUUAUUAUUCCCAAAAUCUGGAAGUCAUCACCACAAGAACAUCUAUCAUCAAGAUACUAAGUCUAAGAAUAUCUAGGAAGCAAAAAUAAUAAACAGCUAGUCCAUGCCAGAACUUCAAGGCAUCAAGGCAUGAAGAAGAAGAUCCAGUCCAAGCUAGAAGCAUUAGCUCACCCUGAGAUCCGACGUGAUGAAGACUGGCUAGAGUUGCGGUUGAAUUGAAGACGAUGGCACGUUUGCUGCACUCCACAAUUAACAAAGAAAAACAAUUACAAGUAGGGGUCAGUACAAAACACGAGUACUGAGUAGGUAUCAUCGGCCAACUCAAAAUAGAAAGCAAUAUAUUUCAGAUAAUAACAUAAACUCAACUAAUAUUCUUAACAGGUGAUAGCAACAAGUAUAAGAAUCAUUUACAACAUCACCAAACACAUCUAUGAGGACUCAAGCCUCCACAUCAUACUCUUUUUGGGGAACAGGUUCUUUAGAUUGAGUAUAUUAACAUAUUUCAAGAUUCAUUCUCUUUACUAAUCCUAGUGUCGGAACGUGACACUCCGAUCCAUCCUCUAUCCUGGUGUCGGAACGUGACACCCGAUCCAUUACUAUCCUGGUGUCGGAACGUGACACCCGAUCCAUUACUAUCCUGGUGUCGGAACGUGACACUCCAAUCCAUAUACUAUCCUGGUGCCGGAAUGUGACACCCGAUCCAUAUACUAUCCUGGUGUCGGAACGUGACACCCGAUCCAUAUACUAUCCUGGUGCCAGAAAGUGACACCCGAUCCAUAUAUUGUCCUGGUGUCGGAACGUGACACCCGAUCCAUAUGCUAUCUUGGUGUCGGAACGUGACACCCGAUCCAUAUACUAUCCUGGUGUCGGAACGUGACACCCGAUCCAUAUACUAUCCUCAAUAUAUUAGUUCAUCAAGCCUUCUUUUAUACCAAGGCAUCAUUAUUAAAAAAAAAAAUAUUUUAGGGUUUAAGAUUCAACAGACUCAUCAUGCUAAUUCAUCAAAAUUAUGUAAUCAUAUCAUACAUACACACAAUUAAGCAAUAUAGGAGACUUUACAUUACUACCCAAUACAUAUCAUUGGCUAUUAAGAGUUUACUAUGAAAUAGCAUAAACCGUAACCUACCUCCACCGAAGAAUUGAAGUCAAGAAAUAUACUUUUCCAAUGCUUUGCUUUCUUCUUCGUUUCUCCCUCUCUCAUUCGUUCGUCCCUCUCUUUCUCUUUUUUCUGAUUUUUCCUUAUUCAAACUCUUUUUCUUUUACCCUAAUUACCAUAUAAUUAAGUAUAAAAGAUGACCAAAGUAACCCACUAAUUAAUUCAAGGUUAUCUCCUUUAACCCCCAAGAAAUUGAAUUAUUAACAUUCAACCACUAACUUUAUAAUUAUAAGCAAGAAUAGUCUAAAACGCCCCUUAAAACUUUUAACAGAAAUCCGACCCAGUCAUGGUUACACAGCCUGUGACGGUCCGUCCUGCACGUCUGUCACAAAGUUCAGAGAAUUAAUUCUGCGGAAGGAUUUGUGACGGUCCGUCGAACCCUCAACGGUCCGUCUUGCCAUUUCGUCGUGAAGUUCAGAGAGUCGAUCUCAGUACCCAAAUUUCUAAAUUCUAAGUGUUUUGGAACGAGACACCCUCGACAGUCCGUCGUGCCCAUGAUAGUCCGUCGUGGGAUCUGUCGACCCAGACAGUGAUUUUUCAGAAAUUAACUCUGCUGCUCCAAACGACUAAACAGGUUGUUACAAUAAUACCAAUUUACCCAUCAUUCGUCCUCGAACGAUCACAAGAAGAAAAACAAGGGCGAAAAGGAGUACCUGAAUUUGUAAACAGGUGUGGGUAUCUUUCUCGCAUAUCAGCCUCCUUCUCCCAAGUGGACUCUUCAACUGGUCGAUUCUUCCAUUGAACUUUGAUGGAUGCAAUCUCCCUUGAUCUCAACUUGCGAAUUUCUCUAUCUAGAAUGGCAACAGGCUCCUCCUCAUAAUUCAAAUUCUCAUCAAGCAGAACUGAAUCCCAUCGAAUAAUGUAGUUUCCAUCCCCAUGGUAUCUUUUCAACAUAGACACAUGAAAUACCGGAUGCACUCUUGACAGUCCUGGGGGCAAGGCUAAUUCAUAAGUCACCUCCCCUACUCGCUUAAGUACUUCAAAUGGUCCAAUAUACCUUGGGCUUAGCUUACCUCUUUUUCCAAACCGCAUCACUCCUUUCAUGGGCGAAACCUUCAGCAAGACUUGCUCACCCUCCAUGAACUCCAAGUCUCUAACCUUUCGAUCUGCAUAUUCCUUUUGCCUGCUUUGAGCCGCUCAAAGCUUUUCUUGAAUAGAUUUCACCUUCUCUAAUGAAUCCCUCAAAAGAUCAGUACCCCAAGGUCUAACCUCAAAUGCAUCAAACCAACCAAUGGGAGACCUACAUCUCCUCCCAUACAAUGCUUCGAAAGGAGCCAUAUCAAUACUUAAUUGAUAGCUAUUAUUGUAUGAAAACACCGCUAAGGGUAAGAAGUUAUCCCAAUCACCCCAAAUUCUAUCACACAUGCACGAAGCAUAUCUUCCAACACCUGAAUUGUUCGCUCAGACUGGCCAUCAGUCUGAGGGUGAAAUGCAGUACUAAGGUCCAACCUAGUACCUAAUUCAGCAUGCAAUGUUCUCCAAAACAUAGAAGUAAACUGCGUACAUCUAUCUGAUAUGAUGGAAAGUGGAACUCCAUGCAAUCGAACAAUUUUAAAGAUGUAGAGUCUGGCUAACUUCUCUGCAUUGUAGGUCACCUUGACCGGGAUGAAGUGAGCAGACUUAGUUAAUCUGUCCACAAUUACCCAAAUAGAGUCAAACUUCCCCAAUGUCUUUGGAAGACCAACCACGAAGUCCAUUGCAAUUCUCUCCCACUUCUAUUCAGGAAUGGGCAUUCUCUGAAGUGUUCCUCCGGGCCUCUGGUGUUCAUACUUUACUUGCUGACAAUUUGGACAUUUGGCAACAAAAUCAACAAUGUCGUGCUUCAUUCUACUCCACCAAAAGUGUUGCUUUAGGUCACGGUACAUCUUGGUUGCACCAGGAUGUAUAGAAUAUCCGAAACUAUGAGCCUCUGUAAGAAUAGUGUGGAUCAAAUCAUCAACACGGGGCACACAUACCCUUCCCUUAAUUCUCAAAACACCUUCCUCAUCCAUUAUUUCUUCUUUAGACUUUCCUCGCAACACCAUAUCCCGAAUUUGGCUUAGUUUCUCAUCAUCAAACUAUUUUCCCUUGAUCUUGUCAAGAAAAGAAGAUCUCGCCUCCAUACUGGCCAAAAAUCCUUCCUUCUCAUUUACUUCUAACCUCAUAAAGUCGUUAGCCAGAGUCUGAACCUCUCUUGCCAAUGGGCGUCUAGAAACUUGUAAGUGGGCUAAACUACCCAUGCUCCCCACUUUUCUACUUAAGGAGUCUGCUACAAUAUUAGCCUUUCCUGGGUGAUACGAGAUGGUAACAUCAUAAUCCUUCAGUAGUUCCAUCCACCUCCUCUGUCUCAAAUUCAAAUCCCUCUGAGUAAAGACAUACUAUAGGCUACGAUGAUCCGUAUAGACUUCACACUUGACCCCAUAUAGAUUGUCUCCAUUGCUUUAAUGCAAACACAACUACGGCCAAUUCCAAAUCGUGGGUCGGAUAGUUACGUUCAUGCACCUUUAAUUGCCUCGAAGCAUAAGCAAUUACAUUCUUCUCUUGCAUUAGCACUGCACCCAAACCAGAAUAGGAUGCAUCACAAUAAACAAUGAAGUUCUUACCCUCUACUGGCAAGGUAAGGAUAGGUGCAGUAGUCAGCAAGGUCUUGAGUUUCUGAAAGCUUUCUUCACAUUCAUCCGACCAUACAAAUGGAACAUUCUGCUUAGUCAAGUUCGUCAAUUGGGAAGCAAUAGAAGAGAAUCCCUUGACAAAUCGACGGUAGUAGCUGGCUAAACCAACAAAGCUCCUUAUUUCUGACACAUUAGUAGGUCUUACCCAAUUUCUCACUGUUUCAAUCUUAGAAGGAUCCGCUAUCACUCCAUCCUUAGAAACCACGUGCCCCAAAAAGGACACUGAAUCUAGCCAAAACUCACACUUGGAGAAUUUGGCAUAAAGCCUUUUCUCCCUUAACACUUCCACCACAAUUCUCAAAUGCUCCUCAUGUUCCUUCUUACUCUUAGAGUAUAUCAGUAUAUCAUCGAUAAAUACCAUCACAAAGAGAUCCAGAUAUGGCUUAAAAAUCCCGUUCAUCAAGCUCAUGAAAGCAGCAGGGGCAUUCAUAAGACCAAAAGACAUUACUAUAAAUUCGUAAUGCCCAUACCUGGUUCUAAAAGCAGUCUUUGGCACAUCCGUUGCCCGUAUUUUCAAUUGAUGAUAACCGGAUCUCAGGUCAAUCUUAGAGAAGACACAAGCACCUUGUAACUGAUCGAACAAGUCAUCAGUGCGACGAAUGCGAUACUUGUUCUUAAUAGUUACCUUGUUCAACUGCCGGUAGUCUAUUCACAUCCGAAAACUCCCAUCCUUCUUCUUCACAAAUAACACUGGAGCACCCCAAGGGGAUGCACUUGGUCUAAUGAAACCUUUACUUAACAACUCUUGAAGUUAGGCCUUUAACUCCCUUAAAUCUGCUGGAGCCAUUCUAUAAGGAGGUAUGGAAAUUGGGCGAGUACCCGGCUCCAGAUCAAUGCAAAAGUUAAUAUCUCUAUCCGGUGGCAUACCAGGAAGGUCUGCAGGAAACACAUCCAGAAACUCACGGACUACCGGAACCGACUCAAUUGAAGGUACCUUGGUAGUAUCAUCCCGGAGAUGUGCAAAGAAAGCUGAGCACCCUUUACUAACCAUUCUCUUAGCAUGAAGAAAGGAGAUGAUACGAACUGGAGUGGAAGUGUAGUCACCCUCCCACACUAACGGAUCUGUCCCAGGCUUGGCCAACGUUACAGUUUUAGCAUUAUAAUCUAAGAUUGCAAAAUAUGGAGAAAGCCAAGUCAUACCCAGAAUUACAUCGAAGUCAACCAUUUCUAGGAUAACCAAGUCUACAUGAGUAUUGCUCCCCACAAAAGUCACCAGACAAGACCUAUAUACCUUUUAAACUAUCACAGACUCACCCACCGGAGUAGAAACACGAAUAGGCAUGUCAAGCAAUUCACAAUUUAAAUUAAGGCCAGUAGAAAAUGCGGAAGAUACAUAUGAAAAUGUGGAGCCAGGGUCAAAUAAUACAGAAAACAUACAAUCACAAACCAAAAGAUUACCUGUGAUAACAGCAUCUGAUGUCUCCGCUUCCGACCGCCCAGGGAAAGCGUAACAAUGGGCCCUAUCACCUUUCUGCCCGUUGCCUCUACCAGUUUGCGCUGCAGUAGUUCCCAUUUGUCCGUCACCCCGGCCGUUUUGGUGACCGCCAUUACCUCGGCCACCACGCCCUCCAGAAUGAUGGCCUCUUCCAUGACCACCUCUACCUCUGACUAUUUGAGGUCUGUAACUCUGUUUUGGACAAUACCUCUUAAUGUGUCCAGUCUCCCCACAUCCAUAACACUCUCUGGAUUCAAGCAUAGGUCUCUAUGAGAAUGACGAAGUCUGGGGAUGACCUCCAAACUCAGAGAAGUGUUGACCGGUCUGCGGUGGACCCCCAACUACAGUCUGCAGUGAAGACUGAAUAGGUCGGGCUGGAUAACCUCCUGAACCCUGCCCUCUGGAGUAAGAACCAUUAAACUCACCUCCCUUACGAAACCUUUUAGAUGUCGGUGUCAUGGUGAAGUCAUCUGGCUUCACUCCCUCCACCUCUAUCACGAAGUCUACCACUUUCUGAAAGGAUUUCGCUGUAGCCGCUACCUGUAAGGCUGAAAUCCGCAAAUCUGACCUCAACCCCUUCACAAAACGGUGAAUCCGCUCUUGUGGACUGAAGCAAAGCUGGGUGGCAUGCCUGGAUAAUGCACGGAACUUAGCCUCAUACGCAGUCACCGACAUCUUGCCUUGCUCUAGGCUCAAGAACUCAUCUCUCCUCCUAUCCCUCAAGGUCCGGGGGAUAUACUUCUCCAUAAAUAAGCUAGAGAACGACGCCCAAGUCAUAGGUGGUGCCUGUGCGGGUUGACACUCAACAUGUGACCGCCACCACAUUUUGGCAUUUCCCUGAAACUGAUAGGUUACAAACUCAACGCCAAAUCGUUCCAGUAUGCCCAUUUUAUGUAGUAACUCAUGACAGUCAACCAGAAUAUCAUAAGCAUCCUCAGAUUCAGCACCCUUGAAGACUGGAGGUUUCAAUUUGAAGAACUUACUGAAAAGUUCAUGCUGAUCACUUGUCAUUAUAGGCCCUGUAGUCAAACGAGGAAACGUGACUAUUUCCAAUGAGGCAUCCAUGCGGGGAGCCACAGUAGCUUGCAGGUUGUACCUCCGGAACCUGGGGUGCUGGUGCAGAAAACACUGGAGGUGUCUGGCCUUGAUCAGUUAACCCGCUAAGAUAAGCAAGAACCUGGUUAAUCAUCUCUGAGGUAGGUUGGGGUGGUAAUUCCUCAUUCUGCACUUGCUCACUUUCCCCUUCCUCACCCUCUUUUACUACUUCCUCAGUCGGUGGAGGAGUCACCGCCCUAGUACCAGAUGGGCUAGGUGCUUGUCCUCUUCCUCUAGAGGACGUCCUCUCACGACCUCUUCCACGGCCUCUUGCCACUACUCCUCUUCGAGCUACAGCCCCAGUGGCUGGCUCAGACGCACCCUGUCCUGUCGGUGCAGGUGUUGGCGUAGUUGUUGCUCUAGUUCUAACCAUCUGCGAAAUAGAGUGAAGAUGGUCAGAUACCAAUUUGUAUCACCUAGAUACCAAUUGGAUCCAAGAAAUAGCACGAAAGAAAGAAAGAAUGGAAUUUUCCUAAAGUCUUAUAGUCUCUCAAAGAAAAGUAAAGGCGUCCCCCUACCUUUCUUUAAGACUCUACUAGACUCGUUCUUGUGUGAUGAGACCAACGAACCUAAUGCACUGAUACCAAGUUUGUCACGACCCAUAACGGGUCGCGAGUGACACCCACACUUAUCCUACUAUGUGAGCGAACCAACCAAUCUAAACCCCAACAUUUCAACCAUAAAUAACAUAAUAUCAUGUGGAAGACUUAAACUCAUUAAUGAAAAUCGAUUAAAUAACUUCUAAAAACUCAAUACUUAUUAUUCCCAAAAUCGGGAAGUCAUCACCACAAGAAAAUCUAUCCUCAAGAUACUAAGUCUAAGAAUAUCUAGGAAGCAAAAAUAAUAAACAGCUAGUCCAUGCCGAAACUUCAAGGCAUCAAGACAUGAAGAAGAAGAUCCAGUCCAAGCUAGAAGCAUUAGCUCACCCUGAGAUCCGACGUGAUGAAGACUGGCUAGAGUUGCGGUUGAGUUGAAGACGAUGGCACGUUUGUUGCACUCCACAAUUAACAAAGAAAAACAAUUACAAGUAGGGGUCAGUACAAAACACGAGUACUGAGUAGGUAUCAUCGGCCAACUCAAAAUAGAAAGCAAUAUAUUUCAGAUAAUAACAUAAACUCAACUAAUAUUCUUAAUAGGUGAUAGCAACAAGUAUAAGAAUCAUUUACAACAUCACCAAACACAUAUAUGAGGACUCAAGCCUCCACAUCAUACUCUUUUUGGGAAACAGGUUCUUUAGAUUGAGUAUAUUAACAUAUUUCAAGAUUCAUUCUCUUUACUAAUCCUGGUGUCGGAACGUGACACUCCGAUCCAUCCUCUAUCCUAGUGUCAGAACAUGACACCCGAUCCAUUACUAUCCUGGUGUCGGAACGUGACACCCGAUCCAUUACUAUCCUGGUGUCGGAACGUGACACUCCAAUCCAUAUACUAUUCUGGUGCCGGAAUGUGACACCCGAUCCAUAUACUAUCCUGGUGCCGGAACGUGACACCCGAUCUAUAUACUAUCCUGGUGUUGGAACAUGACACCCGAUCCAUAUACUAUCUUGCUGUCGGAACGUGACACCCGAUCCAUAUACUAUCCUGGUGUCGGAACGUGACACCCGAUCCAUAUACUAUCCUCAAUCUUUUAGUUCAUCAAGCCUUCUUUUAUACAAAGGCAUCAUUAUUAACAAAAAGAUUUUAGGGUUUAAGAUUCAACAGCCUCAUUAUGCUAAUUCAUCAAAAUUAUGUAAUCAUAUCAUACAUACACACAAUUAAGCAAUAUAGGAGACUUUACAUUACUACCCAAUACAUAUCAUUCGCUAUUAAGAGUUUACUAUGGAAUAGCAUAAACCAUAACCUACCUCCACCGAAAAAUUGAAGUCAAGAAAUCUACUUUUCCAAUGCUUUGCUUUCUUCUUCGUUUCCCCCUCUCUCGUUCGUUCGUCCCUCUCUUUCUCUUUUUUCUGAUUUUUCCUUAUUCAAACUCUUUUUUCUUUUACCCUAAUUACCAUAUAAUUAAGUAUAAAAGAUGACCAAAGUAACCCACUAAUUAAUUCAAGGUUAUCUCCUUUAACCCCCAAGAAAUUGAAUUAUUAACAUUCAACCACUAACUUUAUAAUUAUAAGCAGGAAUAGUCCAAAACGCCCCUUAAAACUUUUAACAGAAAUCCGACCCAGUCAUGGUUACGCAACCUGUGACGGUCCGUCCAGCACGUUCGUCACAAAGUUCAGAGAGUUAAUCAUGCGGAAGGAUUUGUGACGUUCCGGCGAGCCCUCAACGGUCCGUCCUGCCAUUUCGUCGUGAAGCUCAGAGAGUCGAUCUCAGUACCCAAAUUUCUAAAUUCUAAGUGUUUUGGAACGAGACACCCUCGACGGUCCGUCGUGCCCAUGACGGUCCGUCGUGGGAUCCGUCGACCCAGACAGUGAUUUUCAGAAAUUAACUCUGCUGCUCCAAACGACUAAACAGGUCGUUACACUUGUAUACGAAAAGAAAACUAAAGAUACCCCCAGAAUCCCUCACACUCUAAAGUCAUUUCAUUAGUGUGACCAAAAUUAAGGGGUAAUACGAAAACAAGACAUGAACAAAAAUUACUAGAUUCCAGAAAUGGCAUAGCAGGGAGCAAUCCAUUCUUAGGAUAGAUCUAUAUAAAAUUGUGUGCUAGAUGUGACACAUGGAAAAAAAUGUUUGGCAGAUUAAAUUAUGACUACUAUUGUUUGAGAAGAUGACUAACAGACAUUUUCUUAACCAACGAAAUUUUUGUUCCUAUUUUCAUUUUUUCACAACUUAUAAAUUUGUUCAGACCGAAGCAUAAGUCAUAUGAAUUAAAACAAUAAAAAAAAUCACCUUCAACAAUGGCUUUAUCACAACAUUAAUCCAUCUUUUUUCUUGUUACUACUCAUCACUUUGUUGUUAGAAAGUAACUAUAAAAUUCAAGCAGAAGUACGACAUUUUCUUGAAAUAACUCUAUUUGAGCUUUCUAAGCCUGAAUUGCUAUAUCUUCCUGAAUUCCCUGAAAUUCCAAAGCCCGAAUUGCCACAACUUCCAAAGCCGAAGUUUUCAACAUUUUCAAAGCCUGAAUUUUCAAUGUUGCCAAAACUCGAGAUUCCUUCCAUUCCUAAGUCUAAAUUGCCAAGUUUGCCAAAAUAAAAAAUUGUACAAGUGCCUAAAAAGCCUUGAGCACGUGGUAUAUGAAAUUUAUCUUUCGCUGAUUGAUGUGACAUAUAUAGUUAAAAUGUCACAUUUCAUUAUGUCGGGUUAUCAUGUAUGUUUGCCUAAUAUAAUGUUCUUGUGUUUUGGAAGGAUUAUUUAUGUGAAUGAUUAUGUAAGACAUAUAUUUAUUUCUAGUGGUACUUCAAAUCUUUGAGGUGGCUUUUACAUUAACUAAUUAUGUAGUUCCCUAUCAAAAAAAAUUGGCAAUGGACAAAUACUGCAGCUAAAUAAUAAAUUUAUGCUAAUCCUAUUUAACAAAAUUUUUUAGUUACCUAUAAUUACUAUCGUUCUAUAUUAAUAUAUAUCCACCGUAUUCUCUUUUCUAGGAUCAUAUCAUUAGUAACUUGAAGUUGCGUCAAAUUUGUCUUAUUACCUAUUUUCAAUACUAUUUCGGUUUACCUCCGUCUCUUUCUUGUACUCUUUAACCAACCUCUCGCACCUCCUCAUGACUAAUGCAUCUAUUCAUAUCCUCUCUACAUGUCAAAACCAUCUCAAUCUUGCUUCUCUUAUCUUGUCCACCUCGAACGCCACCUCCACCUUAUACCGAAUAUCUUCAUUUCUAAACUUAUUGCUUCUAGUAAGAGCACACAUUUACUUCAACAUCCUCAUCUUUGCAACAUGAAUCUUAUGGAGAUGGGAGUUCUUGAGAGGCCAACAUUCAUUCUCACAUAACAAUGUCAUUCGAAUCACCAAAAAAAUUCUUAUUUGACCAGAUUACAAGGAAACUUUAUAAAACUUACCUUUGAGUUUCACCGGUAUCUUCUUAUCACACAAGGAUUCAGAGGCAAGUCUCCACUUCAUCAAAAUUGCACCAAUGCAGUGUGUGAUAUCAUCGUCAUUGAUGUCUCAUUCCUUGAACUAUAAACCCUAAGAUACUUGAAUCUAUCUCUCUUAAAAAUAUUUUAAUCAUGUAACUACUUUAAAAUAUAAUUAUAUUCAGCAGAUAGUAAUAGAAAUUUCUAUAACUAUAGUUAGCUUUUCCUUCUUUUGUAUCAAAGAAAGUACAAUAGGAUAUAUAUUUUUAAGGAAUAAGAAAAGGGAAACUGUUAUGCAAUUGUAGCUUUUAUUUAUAUUAUAAGCAGAAUUUUACUAAAUAGAAAUUACAUAUUCACUCCAUUUUUUUUUUUACAUAUAUAGUAAAUAUUUCAAAGCACAUUCAUUAAUCACACCACACAUUAUUCCUAAGUACAUAUAUUUAUGUAUCACUUGAUGUGGUGAGUCUCAAUAUCUUUGGUCAUUUUGAGAGCAAAUUCCAUGAAAGUAUGUGGAUCUGACACAUUUGCAUUUUUCUUUUCAUAUUCAAUAAUCCAAAUAAAUAAAUUAUUUUCACCUUUUGUCUCAACAUGAGUAGUGAUGUAAAAUGAUUUGUAAUCCUCCAAUAGAUCUCCUUCAAUCAUCUUUUUUUUAAUCAACUUAUUUUCUUCAUCUAUUUCUUCAACUAUUUCCUUUGCCGCGUUCUCUAUUACAUCUGGAAAAAAAAUUAAACAUUUCAUAUUACUAAUUUAUUUUUAAAUGAUCAAGUUAUUUGAAUUGAAUUUGAACGGGUUAAAAACCGUUUGAAACAACAAAUGUGUUGGAUCAAAUUAAUGAUCCUUAUAUAUAUAUAUAUGGUAUUCUUAUGCAUGUAAGGUAUAUACAACUAAAAACAAAUUUAUAAAGACUAAAACUAAUGGACCAUAUUCAUAAUAAAUAUUAAAAUCAAAUAUAAUAUAUGUUUUGUUAGGUAGUGGAGCCUGAUUAAUUUUAGGUUUUCCUAUUUAUUCUCUAUUUUAGGCUUUCCUAUUUAUUCUCUAUUUUAGGUUUUCCUAUUUAUUCUCUGUAAUCAAAAAUACUUUGAUUUAUUAAUAUAAAUAUACCUCACCGCCGUGGAAGUUUACUUACGGGGUUUUACCACGAAAUAUUGGAUUUUCUCUUUCUCUCUCUAGAUCUCUCAUCUCUUUCUCUUGAAAGUUCUUGUGUUCUUCAUUCAUCUAGUGUGUAUGCGUGAAUUCGAUCCUAACAACUGGUAUCAGAGCUAAGGAGAUUCAACACGAUCACUGAAGAUGGAUAGUUCAAAGCUUGGAAUCGAGAAGUUUGAUGGAUCCGAUUUCAGUUUCUGGAAGAUGCAGAUCGAAGAUUAUCUGUACCAGAAAGAUCUUCACGAACCGUUGACCGGGGUGAAGCCGGAAUCUAUGACGGAGGAGAAGUGGAAACUCAAGGAUCGCCAGGCUCUAGGGUUGAUCCGGUUGACUUUGUCAAGAAACGUGGCGUUCAACAUCGUGAAAGAGAAGACUACGUCCGGUCUAUUGAAGGCACUAUCAAAUAUGUAUGAAAAACCAUCGGCUAUGAAUAAGGUAUAUUUGAUGCGUAGAUUGUUCAAUUUACAGAUGUCUGAAACUGGAUCCGUUUCUGAUCAUACAAACGAGUUCAAUAUAAUUGUGAGUCAACUCAAUUCUGUGGAUAUUAAUUUCGAAGAUGAAAUUAAGGCGUUGAUUUUGAUGAUGAGCCCGAGUCUUGGGAUACUGUUGUUGCUGCAAUUAGCAGUUCCCGUGGAUCUAAGAAACUGAAGUUUGAUGAAAUCCCUGAUGUUGUUCUUAGCGAAAGUAUUCGCAAACGAGAAGUGGGAGAUUCAUCGGGCAGUGCUCUUGGCGUUUAUCGAAGGGGGAGAAGUAAGACGAAAGGCCAAAAUCAACAUGGUCAAUCAAAAUCAAAGAAUCGAGGAAAAUCACUGAACAGAUCAAACGUGACUUGUUGGAACUGUGGAGAAAAAGGGCACUUUCAGACAAAGUGUACAAAGCCAAAGAAAAAAUAGAAUCAGAAAUUAGGAGAUGACAAUGAUUCUGUAAAUUCAGCAGAGGACAUUGGGGAUGCUCUAAUCCUUAGUGUGAACAGCCCGGUUGAAUCAUGGAUUUUGGAUUCUGGUGCAUCUUUCCAUUCGUCUCCAAGCAAGGAGUUGUUCCAAAACUUCAAAUCUGGAAAUUUUGGAAAAGUAUAUCUUGCUGACAAUAAAGGCUUAGAGAUUGAAGGAAAGGGGGAUGUUUGCAUAAAGACCACCUCGGGAAACCAGUGGACAUUGGAGGAUGUCAGAUAUAUUCCUGGGAUCAAGAAAAAUUUGAUCUCUGUUGGUCAGUUGGAUAGCACGGGAUAUGCAGUAGAGUUUGGGAAAGGUUCGUGGAAGAUCGUGAAAGGUGCUAUGGUAGUAGCUCGUGGAACCAAAUUUGGAACCUUGUACACCAUUGCAGGGUGUAUAAACAUGGACGCUGUUGCUGAAGGUGCAUCCGGUUCAUGUCUGUGGCACAACAGACUUGGACACAUGAGUACUAAAGGAAUGAAGAUGCUGGUUGCAAAAGGAGCAUUAGAGGGUCUGAAGUCUGUUGAUAUGGGUCUUUGCGAGAGUUGUGUUAUGGGCAAACAAAAAAGAGUAAGCUUCACAAAGACUCCUAGAGAGCCAAAGAAAGUGUGGUUGGAAAUGGUCCAUACAGAUGUUUGGGGACCAUCUCCAGUAUCAUCACUUGGAGGAUCCAGAUUCUAUGUUACCUUCAUUGAUGAUUUCAGUAGGAAGGUAUGGGUUUACUUCUUGAAGCAUAAGUCAGAUGUGUUUGAAACUUUCAAGAAGUGGAAAGCUGAAGUUGAGAAUCAGACCGGUUUGAAAGUCAAAUGCCUAAGGUCUGACAAUGGAGGAGAGUAUGACAAAUCAGAGUUCAAGGCAUUCUGUGCAGCUGAGGGAAUCAGAUUGAUGAGAACAGUUCCCGAUAAGGCAAGGCAGAAUGGAAUUGUUGAGAGGAUGAACAGAACAUUGAAUGAGCGUGCAAGGAGUAUGAGGAUACACUAUGGGUUGCCCAAAACACUUUGGGCAGAUGCUAUGAGCACAGCUGCAUACUUGAUCAACAGGGGACCAUCAGUUCCUUUAGGGUUCAAGAUUCCAGAGGAGGUGUGGACAGGAAAAGAACUCAAGUACUCACACUUUAGGACUUUUGGGUGCACUGCUUAUGUUCAUGUUGAUCCAGAAAAGAGAGACAAGCUUGAUGCCAAGGCUGUGAAGUGUUACUUCAUAGGAUAUGGUUCUGAUUUGUUUGGUUACAGGUUUUGGGAUGACAAGAACAGAAAGAUCCUGAGACAUUGUGACGUGACAUUUGAUGAGUCUGUCCUGUACAAGGACAGAGAGCAGAAGGUUCUAGAGAUUACAAAGCAAGUGGGAGUUGAGGCUGAGUUGGAGAAGAGUAACCCCAGAGAUGUCGAAGCAGAUACUCAACCAACUCCUACUGAAGAAUCUGAAGUGGAGCAAGUUACACCUGAGCAGGUGUUAAGGAGAUCAUCCAAAUCCAUCAGGGCACCAGAUAGGUAUUCACCUUCAUUACACUAUCUAUUGCUGACUGAUGAGGGGGAACCAGAGUCUUUUGAUGAGGCCCUACAGGUGGAGGAUUCGAUCAAGUGGGAGCAAGCCAUGGAUGAUGAGAUGAGGUCACUUGAGAAGAAUGACACAUGGGUGUUGACUGAGUUACCUGCAGGGAAGAGAGCUUUGCUGAACAAGUGGGUGUUCAGAAUCAAGACUGAACCAGAUAGCAAAAAAAGGUUCAAGGCUCGUUUAGUGGUUAAAGGAUAUUCACAAAGGAAAGGUAUUGACUAUGCUGAAAUAUUCUCUCAUGUUGUGAAGUUACCCUCUAUUCGAAUUCUGUUGAGUAUUGUUGCAUCAGAAAAUUUGCAUCUAGAGCAAAUGGAUGUAAAAACAGCGUUUUUACAUGGAGAUCUAGACAAAGAGAUCUAUAUGCAGCAACCGGAAGGAUUUGUGGUUCCAGGCAAGGAACACAUGGUGUGCAAGCUCACCAGGAGCUUGUAUGGACUAAAGCAAGCACCAAGGCAGUGGUACAAGAAGUUUGACUCCUUCAUGACCAAGAGUGGAUUCUGCAAAGCUGAAAAGGAUCCUUGUUGUUACUUCAAGAAAUACACUGAUUCAUAUGUCUUUCUACUCUUGUAUGUGGAUGAUAUGUUGAUUGCAGGAUCUAGUAUGAGAGAGAUUAACAAUCUGAAGACAAGGUUGUCUGCAGCGUUUGAGAUGAAAGAUUUGGGUCCAGCAAAGCAGAUUUUGGGGAUGAAGAUUUCUCGGGAUAGACCUGCUGGCACUUUAAAUCUAUCUCAGGAGUUGUACAUUGAGAAGGUGCUGAGCAGAUUCAGGGUUAAUAAUGCUAAACCCAGGACUACUCCAUUGGCAAAUCACUUCAAAUUGUCAAAGGAGCAGUCACCUAAGACUGCCGAGGAGCAUGAUCACAUGGCACUUGUUCCAUAUGCUUCAGCAGUUGGUAGUUAGAUGUAUGCUAUGGUCUGCACUAGACCUGAUAUAGCACAUGCAGUGGGAGUAGUUAGCAGGUACAUGGCGAACCCUGGGAAAGAGCAUUGGGAAGCUGUGAAGUGGCUUCUGAGAUAUCUGAGAGGUACAUCCAAUACUUCACUUUAUUUUGGCAAAGGCAAGGUGACUCUACAAGGUUUUGUGGAUGCUGAUCUUGGUGGGGAUGUUGACUCAAGCAAGAGUACAUCCGGGUACAUUUACACCAUAUGUGGAACAGUAGUGAGUUGGAUGUCCAGGCUUCAAAAGUGUGUUUCUCUUUCAUCUACUGAACCUGAGUAUGUGGCAAUAGUUGAAGCUGGGAAAGAGAUGAUAUGGCUGGCAGAUUAUCAUGAGGAAUUGGGCAAGAAGCAAAGCGAGAAGAUUCUUUACUUAGAUAGCCAGAGUGUCAUACAGUUGGUGAAAAAUUCAGUCUAUCAUUCGAAGACAAAGCACAUCAGAAGGCGAUACCAUUUUACUCGCAGGGCAGUGGAGGAUGGUGAUAUGUGCUUGGAGAAGAUAGAGGGUGCAAAGAACCCGGCAGACAUGUUGACGAAAUGUGUUGAUGUUGAGAAACUGAGGUUAUGUAAAACCUCGGUUGGUCUUCUGUAGUUGUUGCUACAAAUGUUGCGGUGCGGUAAAGAUGUUGAUGAUGAAGAGAUUUUUGUGAGAAUGUACUUUUUGGAUGACUGAGUCAGUCUCCAAGUGGGAGAAUUGUUAGGUAGUGGAGCCUGAUUAAUUUUAGGUUUUCCUAUUUAUUCUCUAUUUUAGGCUUUCCUAUUUAUUCUCUAUUUUAGGUUUUCCUAUUUAUUCUCUGUAACCAAAAAUAUUUUGAUUUAUUAAUAUAAAUAUACCUCACCGCCGUGGAAGUUUACUUACGGGGUUUUACCACGAAAUAUUGAGUUUUCUCUUUCUCUCUCUAGAUCUCUCAUCUCUUUCUCUCGAAAGUUCUUGUGUUCUUCAUUCAUCUAGUGUGUGUGCGUGAAUUCGAUCCUAACAUGUUUACCAUGGGUGAAGUUCCAAAAAUUAACAGAGCCAACAGUUCCCCAGUCACCUUCAUGAAUAUUCACAUUUUUUAUCUUAUCAGGGCAUAUGUUUGAGAGAUGGUGUGGUCUUUGCCUAAAGAUCUCAUGAAAAACAUCUCCAUUACACAAAGUUAUCUCUGAAACUAACUUUCCUUUAAGGCUCAUCUCUCUUCUAUGUUAUGAUAUAUCACAAAGUUAUAAUAACAAGAGUGGUUCAUCAUUACAUGAGUAGCUCUGCCCUUUUAUAGAUAGGAAUUGCUCAUAUGUCUAAACUAAAGUAUUUCUAUUUUAUCUGUCCCAUUUUACAAGGUACUUUUCGAUUUUUGAGAGUCAAACAGUUUAAAUUUGAUCGAAAUCUACGUGCGAAAUAAAAUAAAUAUACUUGUAAACUACAUAAAAAGUACUAUAAUUCACAAUAAUUGGAAAUUCAAUAUAAUUAAAAUAUAUAUGAAAAAUUUACGACAAAAAUAAACUUAUUUAAAUUACAAAAUUCGGAAAAUGUCACUUAAAUUGAAACGAAUGAUUUUUUUUUGGCCUAUACAUAAUUAGGUGUGUACACAAAAUUAGAGAAGAAGAUUCUUUCUUAUAUUUAGUAUAAGUAAUAACUAGUACUAGUGCCCAAUAAGCUACUUUUAUAUUUAGAAGGUAUUUGAGUUAAUGUUUAUAAGUUGUUUAAAUUAGUUCAUAAGCAUAUUUAUUUAAUUUGACAAAUCAUUUUACAAUUUUACCCCCCUUUUUGUACCCCUAAAAUGUUCUUCCUAAAACACAACUUUGAAAAAAAAAACACAACUUUGAAUUAUUUCUUUAUUUUAUUUUCGUCAUUUGUCCUUUCUAUGUAAAAAUACUUUUAAAUAAAUUUUAUUUUAUGAAUAAAUUUUUUAAAAUAUCAACAAUAUUUUACCAAAUACAUUCAUUAUUUGUUUAUUAUCAAUUUUAGCACCCUACGUGUAACUAAAACUAGGCAUCAGAUGGGGUUGUACAGAUAUCGUUUCGGUACCAUCCCGGUUCAGUAGUAUUCAAGAUGGAAUGGAAUAUAGUGAAUCGGUACUCGGAACGAAACUGUAGCAUCUUUUGAUAUUGGUAUCUAUUCAUUUCCGGUCCGGUCCCGAUAAAUUAUUUUUCAUUAAUUAAACGGAAAAGGGCCUAAAAUACCCUUGAAGUAUUGAAAAUGGUACACAAUUACCCCCCAUCCACCUAUUGGCCCCCAAAUACCCUUUACAUCCACCUUUGGGUCCAAAUUUACCCCUUCAUUAACGGAUCAAAAUCAAAAAUAAUUAAAUAAAAUUUUUUAAUUACGUGGCACUCAACCAUUGGUUGUAAUUUAAUUAUUUAAAAUAAUUUUAAACCCACCCAUUUUAACUAAACCCGCCCCACUUGACCCAAUUUUUUAAAAAAAAACCAUUUAAUUAAAAUACCUAAAACUUUAUUCCUCACAUCUUCAUAACUUCCAUAGACUACAUUGUUGUCUUCUUCUUCUUCUUCAUGAAGAAAAUGUCAACUUCUUCUUUGAUUUCUUCAGUUAAGUGUGUAGGAAAUGUGAUUGCUAGGCCUGGUUGUUGGUCAUUUUUAAAGGGUGGAUUUGUUCUUGAUUUGCCUUCCUCAUAUGGUCUACUUUAUCUCUAGGUAUGUCUUAUUAAGACGAUAGCUUCAGGUAUUGAGUUAUUUUUUCUGCAAUUGUUUAUGUAAUUAUAACAAAUUUUGGAGCAGAGAUCAGAUGGAGAAAAGUUAAAUAUCUCGACUUCAAGUGUUUCUUUGCAGCCAUUUACUUAUCAACUGUGGAAGAAAAACCAACAAGACGCUAUCGAUAAAGUAAACUCCUGAAACUCUAUGACUUUUAGCAUCUUCAGUUUUAUGGUAACAUUGCAUUUUUUCAGGUGUGGACGUCUGCUUUCAAUCAAUCACAUUUCCUACACACUUAACUGAAGAAAUCGAAGAAGAAGUUGACAUUUUCUUCAUGAAGAAGAAGAAGACAACAAUGGAGUAUGGAAGUUAUAACGAUUGGAGGAAUAAAGUUUUAGGUAUUUUAAUUAAAUGGUUUUUUUUAAAAUUGGGUCAAGUGAGGCGGGUUUAGUUAAAAUGGGUGGGUAAUGGGUGGAUUUAAAAUUAUUUUAAAUAAUUAAAUUACAACCAAUGGUUGAGUGCCACAUAAUUAAAAAUUAUUAUUUAAUUAUUUUCAAUUUUGAUCCGUUAAUGAAGGGGUAAAUUUGGACUCAAAGGUGGAUGUGAAGGGUAUUUGGGGGCCAAUAGGUGGAUGGGGGGUAAUUAUGUACCAUUUUCAAUACUUCAAGGGUAUUUUAGGCCCUUUUCCAUUAAUUACAAAUAGCCCUGCAGCCUGUUUGAAUAAAUGAGAUUGAUAUUAUUUUUAAUUUGUGUUAUUAUAAUAUACUUUUACAAGCAUUUCUUUUUUGUUUAUUUAAUUUUUUAAUAUUACAAACUUAAGUUAGUUAAAUUACAAGUCAUAAGUAUAACUUAUAACAUAUAACUUAAUUAUUUAUUAACUUUAAAAGAUUCAAAUCUUGAAAACUUAAGCUCAAAAACAUUUAAAAAAACUUUAUUAAGCUUAACUUACGAGCUUAUAUUUACAAACUUAUUUAAACAAGGAGAGAUAAGUGUUUCUGGGUUGGCUAAUUUGGUUGAUGAAGAAGAACAAGUUUCACCUCCUCCUUUGAAUGGCAAAUUAAGCCCAGAGGCUCAAAUAUUUGUGCCUAAAAGUGUGAUCGCAAAAAAAAAAUGAGUCUGGAGCCUUAGCAUCAUGAAUCAACCAAUAUAUUGAUUUGGGAGAGGUAUUCAUUGAAGAGGAUGAUGAUUUGGGAGAGAAAUUCUUUGAAAAGGAUGAAGAAGAUAAUAUGUUAGAUAUAUGUUUUGAUAAAGUGGCUAGGGAUGGGAUCUUUCACCUAGACAACAAAGAAGUGGAAGCAACCAAAGAAAAGACACAUGGAAGACAACAUAGAUGGGAUGAUAAGGUGACUGAUGAAUUUGUUCCAAGACACCUACCUAUGCGAAUGACUAAGCAGAAUCAUAUGACAUUUUCAACAACUUCGACAAGAUCCAAUAAGUCCAAAAGAAGUGAUGAACUAUCAAGUGUUAUUGGAUGGAUAUGAAGAAGACAAGAGGAAAAUACUUCAGGUUACUCUAGAUGGGCAAACUCUUUUUUAGUUCAUACACAUGUAAAAAAAAGUUUGAUGUUGAAAACUCAACCUUCUUCUUGACGUAUAUAUUUUUGCAUUAUAUAAGUAUCUCAUUUGUCAUAUCAUCAUAGAGUAUAUAAUAAACUCCAUGAUGAUCAUAGAAUAUUUGCUUUUCUCUAACUCUUAUUUUCUUCAUGCUUGAUAAUUAGUAGAGAUUUGUUACCUCAUUAGGAUUGGUAAGGUAAGGCAAGGCCUAGCCCCCUUGCUUGUACUUAUUCACGUUGAGAUUUUUUUUAUCUUAUUAUUAAUAAAGGCCGCUAGAUGUCCUGUCUAGUGGUAUAAAUUUGUUUGAAAAAAGAAACAAAAAAAUAUAUAAGUAAAAAUCAAACAAAAUAUAUCUUUAAUCUUUAAAAUAAACAUAAGUAGAGUUGAAUUUUAGAUUUCAAAAUUAUUAAACUUAAAAAAAUUAAAAUAAAAACAUUCAUAUUUUCGUAAUUCAAAAUAACUCAAAAAAAAAUUAAAAUAGCUAUAUGUGUGAUUCUGUUUAUCUCAUCCUGUUUCAUUCCAGUCCGUCUCGGUUCUAUCCCGGUAUAUACUGGGACCAGAUCAAACUGAACCUCCAUUGCGGUAAUUUCGAUCCGAUUCAUUUCGAUACCUAUCAACAACCUUCAUAUUCCGAUCUGAUGCCCAAUAUUACGUUUAACCACUUAUUUAUAAAAAAAACAAACCCCCCUCCCCCAACCACCAAACAAUAUAUCUCUUUUGCAAAUUUUAUGUUGACAUUAAUAAUAAACAUAUUUUGUAUUAGAAUCAUAGAGGGGAUCUUGUGUAGAAGAGGGAUUGCCUAAUGUGUGAGCUAUCAUAUAAUGCUUUUACAAUAGAAACUCAUUCAUUAAUGAUGCAACUACUAGAAAUUGAGCUGUGAGUGGCGACAAAUCGCUAUUGAAGCCCAAAAAAUCGAAAGAAAACCAUUUCAUUUGUAGCGAUCUGAGCACUGUGGCAACUGGAAAGUAGUUGUUCUAAUGUUAUUUAUAAAGACUUCUUAAGGACUCCACUAGAAACUCCCAUUGUGGCAAUAAUGGUUGCCCCUAGAAAUACUUUUUCUAUAAAAAUAGUUCCAAUAACUUAAAUAUUGGGUAGGUCCUCGCCACUAAAUAUUGACUAACCUUGAAUUGCCAUAUUUACCUGAAAUUCCAAAUUUAUCAAAGCUUGAAUUCCCUGAAAUUUGGGAACCUGAGCUGCCAACUCUAUCAAAGCCUAAAUUGCCAGAAUUCCCAAAGCUGAAUUUUCCGCCAUUUCCUAAGUUUGAACAUCCAACAUGGCCUAAACUCGAUAUUCUUGUUAUUUCUAAGACUGAAUUGCCAACUUUAUCAAAUCCUAAAAUCCCUCAAGUGACUGAAAAAUCAUGAGCGCGUGGGUGUGAAAUUUUCCUUGCCUUAUUGAAGUAACAUUGAUCACAUAUAUUGUGAUACAAUCAUUUCCUCCUCUCUAUUUUGGAAGGAUUAUUUAUGUAAUUGUUAUGCCAUCAAUUUACUAAUAUAAUGUUCUUGUGUUUCUAAUGGCAUAGUACACAAUAUUUAUAUACUCUGAAAACUUUGAAUCGUUGAGGUGACUUUUACUUCAGCUAAUUUUGUAGUUCACUAUCACUAUCAAAAAUAGGAAACUGUUGAUGGACAAAUAUAUAAUUUAGCUAAAUAGUGAAACUCAACGCUAAUUCUAUCUAAAUAUAAAUUAUAAAAAAAAUAGAUAUUAGCAAUUUAACGAUCACGAGUCAUUUAGAAUUUUGUAGUGUAUUCAUUUGCAUUGAGAUCUCUUAUUGGCUCUAGAGUGUGAUAUUUCAAUAUGCAACAUAAUAUCUAAUUUAAAUUAUUUUUUUGUAAAAAUUUACAGUUGCCACGUAAUUAAAUUAAUACCAAAUAUAAUAUUUGGUAAUCGUGACUAUGGAAGCUAACUUGGUUAGGUUAAUUGACUUUAAAAGACAAAACAAAAUUGAGCGACUAUAUAUGUGUAGGGAUGUUUAUUAAACAUACAAUUACCUAAAAAACAUAAUGUUAGAUCAAUUAGGUAAUUAUACAUGUUAGAUUAAUUAGGAGGUUAUUGUUAAGAUGAACUAACAUAGUUUUUUUUUUCAUACCAAACCACAACCAAAAAUUAAUUCUCCAAUUUUUACUUUCACUAUAUAAACUUGUCUGAAGUGAAGCAUAAUUAAUGCAUAAUCAAGAAAAGACAUAAAUUACAAGUCUUGAAGAAUUCAUCACCUGGCUUUAUACAAUGGCUUAUAAGUAUAUCCCAUCUUUUUUCUUGUUAUUAUUUGUCACAUUGUUUUUAACUAGUAGUUAUGUGAUUCAAGCAGAAGCGCGCAAUCUUCUUGAAGUAACUAUCCCUGAGCUUCCUAAGCCAGAAUUGCCACAUUUACCUGAAAUUUCAACUUUGCCGAAACUUGAAUUCCCUGAAAUUCUGAAACCUGAGUUGCCUACAUUACAAAAACCCGAAUUUUCAAAAAUUCCAAAGCCGGAGUUUUCACCAUUUCCAAAGGCUGAACUUCCAACUUUACCAAAACUCGAGAUUCCUAUCAUUCCUAAGCCUGAAUUGCCAACUUUUUCAAAGCCAGAAAUGCCUCAAGUGCCUAAAAAGCCUUUGAGCACGAGGCAUGUUAAAAAUGUAUUAUGUAUUGUGUGAUCAUAUAUGUAUUUGAAGCUUUCCUUUUGGAAAGAUUAUUUAUGUGAUUUUUAUGUAUAAAAUUGUUUGUGUAAUUGUUCUGUUUUCAGUUCACUAAUGUACUUGUGUUACUAGUGACAUUAUACACAUCUUUAUUUGUACUCUAAGACUCGG